rnacentral:lncRNA from 1 species
GCGAAUCAUCUACUUUUCGGCCCCGUGACAAAGGAAUGGUUGUGGUAGUGAUAGUUAGUGUGUCGAUUGCCUUUUAUGCUCUUUUAUAUUUUUCUUUUGUUUCAUAUAUAUCCCUUAUGUUCUAUUUGAAGGUUAGGUAGUAUCGAACUCUUUUCUUUGACCAUCUAUUGGUGAAAUACCCGAAAAUUUUCUAUUUAUUAAAUAACCAAAUUUUCAUGUAGGGACGACUUGACUCAAAAGAAUUUCUAAAAAAAUUAUAAAAUAACUUUAAUUAUGCUCCAAAUAUUUUUACGAAGAACAUUAGCACUGCAAUUUUCCAUCCAUUGCCAAAUUACUGAACUGGUCCCUGAACAAUUCACCGAUUGUAGAUCAGUCACUCAACUGUUCCCAAGUUAUAAAAAGUCACUGAAUUUAACCUGAAUUGCAUUCAGUUUACUCACCUUACAGAACUUUGACGUUUGGUCUACAAAAUUUUCCAGAGUUGUGGUAAGGUCACUGAAGUUUUCAAAGAUUGCUAGCCAGUCACUCUUCUUCUCCGACAAGACUGGUCAUCGGUGGCGAGUGUUUUCCAGAAUCCGACGAGCACCCAAAACUCUUGGAACGCCGGUUCACUAAGAGGGAAAUUUGAAUAGGCACCUAGGAUAGAUUCAGAGCUUCAUCUGAGGAUGGGGAGGUGAAUUUGAGGUGUAGGGUCGACCUUGAAGUUCCACAACGCUUCCAACUCAGGCGACCAUCACCACUCUCCGGCGACACCUCCAAAUUCAAAAUAUCCUCAUAAAACGAAACCCAAACACUGGGGAAUGGUUACUGGUUUCCAAACAACGCUAAUUGGCACACUUGGUAGCCACGAAUCGACCUAGAAGUCGAUCGAUUGGAGAUCGCCGGCGCCGUCGAAUUCUACCUCCUCUCUCUCUCUCUCUCUCUUUCUCACUUUCUCUCUCUCUUUCUCUCUCUCUCUCUCUCUCUCUCUCUCUCUCUCUCUCUCUCUCUCUCUCUCUCUCUCUCUCUCUCUCUCUCUCUCUCUCUCUCUCUCUCUCUCUCUCUCUCUCUCUCUCUCUCUCUCUCUCUCUCUCUCUCUCUCUUUCUUCAAUCCUGCACGACACAAUCUCCCUCUAUCUUCUAUAGUUCAUCUAAUGGGACAAGAAUAAAAAAAUGGGGAUAAGGAUCAAUAAAAUUCAGCUGUUGCUGCUAUUGCGCAAAAUCGGCUAAGAAGGAGGAGAAGACAACAAAGACUUGGAUCAUCCAAAAUGAAAACAACCCUCUCCUCAGGUCGUUGGAUGAGUCUGGUAGUCCAAACGGUACGCACUGUCUAAUAACUCAGAUUCCUCCCUUGAAUGGAUCAAGCUUCCAUCUCCUACCACAGGAUUCAUCCAGCAGUCCGCAUUCCUCCAUGACAACCUUUAGUCAAAUAAUAGCUUCAGUCCAUCUCCGAUUUCUAGCAAACCAAAUACAUACUUCACUAAUUUUUAUACUCGGUCACCUUAAAGUCAAUCUCUCAAAUUAUAUAAUUAAUUAAGUAUCAAACAUCUCAUUCCGCUGGUUGAACUAAAUCAAGUUAAAAAUUUUAAUUUACAUAAAAGUUAAUUUCUUCACAUAUUUAAUUGGCAACUAAACUUAAUAAUUACUUCUAAGUAUCACAACAUUACACAUAACAUAGAAAAUUAAAUAAUUCACUUACUAAUAACGACUAACAUAUUAAACGUAACAUAAUUUCCAAUAUAAUACCGAGAUAAAUAAAUUCUCAAUUAGGCAAACAUUAAUGCAUAAGUUAGAUACAACUAUAUACAUAACAAGAAUUAAAACAACAAUUUACAUAACAAUACUAAUAUUUUCAUAACAUGCUUUUAUGCUAGACUUUCUUAGGGAUAGUUUAGUAAAUUAAAAUUUUAAUUCACGUGAAAGUUAAUUUUGAUCGCUAGGAUCGGGAUGUAACAACUGUUUGGCAAAGAAGAAUGGGGUUAAACAAACCCAUUCUUUCGUAACGCCGACAGUGUUGACGAUUUUUAUUGUUGUCUUUGAUGUUUUGGGAUGAUGAGAGAAAGGAUGGCAUGAUACUCCUCGAUUUCUUUAUCGGCCACCGACCAUGAUAGUGCACUCCUCACUUCAGACUCCAUUCACGUUUUUCAUUACAACCCCAACAUCGUCUCCUACCGGUUUUCUUUUUACCAACGCACUUUAUCCAGCAACAGAGUCCAAAUAUGUGGUUACUCAAUCUCAGGGCCGAUAUAUCGCAUCACACCAUUUUUCAAACGGUUUAAAUUUCCUUUUCAUGCUGACACCUGGCUAGACGUGAAGGAUCGAUGGUGCAUCUCCCUUUUGGUCACAUCGGCUUGUCCUUCUUACCGAUACUCUUCACUAAUGACAAACUCAGCUCGACAAUGGUUGUCAUUAACUCCUCUUUUCCUCCUGUCGGUUGCGGAAAGACAAUGGAACUUAUUCCCUCUCGCUUGGUUCUGCGAUGAUCCUCCAGUAAAGACGACCAUGAAAGCUCGUCCUUUUCAAAAUUAUCGACCAAUCCUUGUCUUUCUUAUCUACAGUAAGAACCACUCUUCCUCUUCUAUUUUUGUAUCAGCUCAUAAAGUUUGUCUAACUGGAUCUAAUUCGGCUCCUGGGUUUGCCGAUGAGGAACACCUCAAUAGUGGCUCAACAAUCCCAUUAAUUUCUUGAUAUGAUGUUGCUUGUUAUUAUUCUCUGAGAUCGAUAUGCUCAUUGACUGUUUCACCCUUGGAUUAUUUUACUAAUUUGCAAUGUCCAACCUCUCAUCCAUAGCAUAAAAUGUUAACUGACAUAGUAGUGAAACUAAUCUCUAAUGUGGAUAAUGUCCCCAAAGUCAAAGUUAAUUGCCAAACAAACCAACUGGAUGACCAAGACGUUGGGUGCGGUAUAAUAUAGUAUAAGAUAAUUCCGAGUUGAGGUGCUAGUUUGCGUCAUGUUCAGUUUGGUGUCUAAUGUUUGAUGCAUAUUAGAGUUCACUAGGUGUCUAGAGCUUGUUUGUUAUGUACAUUCGAUCUAAAGUCAUUUAAUCUUGCUUUAACACCUCUAUCUCGACCUACCAACUCACUUGAGGUAUUCUAAAAAACCUCCAAAUCGGAUUUUAUUAUUCUUAGUCAUUGGUUUGAGCUUGAAUAAUCUAGUAAUGAUUUCCAACUUUUACUAACGUUCGUUUAUCCGAGCUAGCCAUUUUGAUUUUAUGAUUUGAAAAGUUAUUUGAAUGUAAGCAUCUCAACAUGUCUAACCGAUUUUAAAAAGAGUUAGGGCCUAGGAUAGCAGUAUUUUAGCACCAACUAAUAUAUCCUUAAUGAUAUGUCAUCUAAUUAUGCUUGUAAACUAGGUGCUUUUUAGUUCUUUUUCCGUUUAUAAACCUUUCACCUUUACAUUUUUAGAAUGUCUUUGGGAUAAUCACUAACGUUAUGACUUCUUUUCAUUGCAAGAUUAUUAAGCCGAUUCGAGGCUUGACAUGGAGAUGAUAGCCUUAGUGCUAGGUGAGCUCAACUAUGAGCCUAGGAUGAGUAGGUUCGGGCUGGAGUUUCGAGUGAGAUUUAAUGAAAGGGGUUCAGUGAAGAGUGAUUACUUUUGAAUUGUUUGAGUGAGGGUCUGAGCGUGAUUUGAGGGUUUUAUGAGUGUGAUUUUGUAACUAAUUAGGUCGCUGUUUUGUUAUUUUCACUUGAUGAUUUUUUUGAUUGGUGUUUGUGCUGCCAAAAUGUGUGAUUAUCUCUCUCAAUUUCGACAGAGUUUUCCUUCUCUUUCUCCUCUCUGAAUUUCAAAAUUGAACUCUUUAUAUAAGCCUGAAACUAGUUGUAGAUGAAUAGUGGAUUUCUGAAAAUAUCCCCUACCAGAUCUACACCUAUCUCACCCUAAACUGCCACCUACCCUAAGUUGUCCCCUAGUGGGCAUGAUUUGCCUGGUUUGUCUGGAUCUGAACUAGUUCGGGGAAAACUGUACCGGUUACUAUUUUCACAUCAUAAAUUCCGACUAAUCUUGAUUUGAAAUUAAUUUGGAUCCUCUUAAAUCCCUCUAAAUAAAUUUACGGAUCGUAGGCAAAUUCGAACCGCUGCAUAAUCCUUGUAUUUAAGGAGGAAUUGAUUUUAAAGGACUGAAAUGACUGCCUAACCGCAUUUGGUUUUGUCCUAAACCAAACCUAAUUUGACCAUUCAACUGGACAAUUGAUGCUCCGGGGUAAAACUAUCUUUUCCACUGAAUGACACCUAAAUGAAACCGGUUUGAUCAAAAUUUGACCUGGAAUUGACUUAAUUGUAUUCAUAAUUAAAUCAAGACUCUCCUCCUCAAAUAUUUAUGAGCAUACUAAGUGAUUAAGCUAUUAAAAAUCGAUAUUAUACCCGAGAAUUUCGUUGUUUUACCUAAACAUAUUAAAUUUAAAUGAGAGAAUCAAACCGGACGAGUUAUCCGUUCGAUCAAACUUGUCAGGAAUUAGAUAAAAUUAUAAUCAAAUUCUUAGAUUGAAUUCCAUUAUUCCUACCCCAAUUUUAACUUUGCCAGUCUGUCUAAAAAUAUAUCAAAUCAUAGGGCGAGACCUGCAGUCCUAAACAAAUAAUAAACUAUAAUUUACACCAAGCUCAGACGAAAACCUGUAACCACACUUUCUUUUCAAACACUUUCAUUGAAAAUUCCUAACUCUUCAAAAACAGUUACAAGGAUUGACUCACCAUAUCAUUGACACCACUUAGAUCCUCAAAUACUAUCCCCUAUGGAAGUCUAGUACCGUUACAGGUGCAGACUCACCUUCUGAGAUUCGCGAUGCCUCCAAGGAGCUUGUAGCACACAUAUGAUAGUAGAAGACAACCAGGCUUAGAUACCAAAUGUAAACCUAACCCUAGAAGACCAUGUCGAACCACUGAUUUGACCCAUGCAUGCUAACUCAGGUUCCACUGGACUCGACUCAAACCAACAUUGACUAACAUUCUCAUAAACCUAGCAUUGAAGACUAACCACCAAUUCGAAGGUAGAAAUAUGUUUGAUUACACAAAAGGGAAACAUUAUCAUAGAAGAUAUCACAUAAACCACACAAGUCUAUACUAGUAAUGCGAUCAUACUGGUCAACUAGUAGGAUACCUAGCAUCAACCACCCCUAUAUGUACGGAUAGCCUGAUAGUGGAUCAAACUAUGAAACCACCCUAACCAUGUCACUGGAAUCUAUAGGAACACUUGACAUGUCCUAAACCUUCCCUUUAUCAAUAGGGAUUGCACAAUCUGGGGUGCGUGAUCAAUGCAGCUCAUCAACGUGAUCUAGUCUAGCUAGGCUAAUCUAAUCCUAUUUUGAAACGUGAAUCGCACACCACUGUUCAGUCCUUAGAGCAUCACGAUGAACGUCAUUUCAUCUCUUGUAUAAUAGUUCACAUGCUAAUUUAUAGCCUCAGGAGCUAUCGCUCCAAAUCAUCAGCCAUCUCAAUGGAAAUCCAUUCAUAGGAUUCUUCAAGAUCUAACUAGAGUUCUACGUUUGACUAUGUAGUAAAAAAACAUAAAUCCCCACCUCUAAGAAGUGCUAACACUAUGAUUCUGACUUGAUAUGAGUCCCCUUGCUGCCAUGAAUGCGUAGUUCUGACCAAGCGUCAUUUGGAGCUCAAAUGAUCGAGUUAUGAUCUAGUCCUCCAAUGCUCUCUGAUACAGUGACUAAUCCGGAAAUGCCAGACAAUGACACAAUUGACCCAAGUCCUUAACUGUAAACCAUCAAAAAUUUCAGAACCACAAAAGCUAGACAUAAGAUGAACCAAUUACAAAAUAGCCACUUAUCUUUCAAGGCUUUGCAGAUCGGAUCACCGAACUCCUCCAAGAUUGGGGGGAGGUCACUCUUCUUCUCCGACUAUGCUUUUCUCCGCCUACAACCUUUGCCUAGAAUCCGACGCGGCUCUGCCGACCUCCAUGACUAUGGAGGUUGUAACCAUUUGAUUUUGUUAUCGAGGUUAUUCAGACUUAUGAUGUGUGCUUGCUAAAACGUAAAUUCAGAUUCUUUCUCGUCUGGGCGUCUUGAUUGAAUCAUUGUCAUUGAUUUGUGGUUCCGAGAGGAACGUAGGUCAAAAGGAUGCUUAGGAACAAGAUUCCCUAUUAGCUCCAGAGAGGACUGGUUCGUCUAGGAUUUUUGCAUUAUUUAUCGUUGUGGCAUUUGAUCGAAUACCUUUAGUGUGUUCUGCUUGGGUGUAGAUUAGCUCAAGAGAGGAGGCUCCGGUCAAGCAGAAUAGAUCCUUAGAGUUGUGAGAGAGAUCUAAGACUAUUGUAGGAAAUUGCCAAGCCAUUAUAACCUGAUUAAUUGAGAUUGCAUAUUGUUCGUCCACGCAUUGCUAGCUUUAGUGGAUUGGAGUCUGAACAAUCUUAUUUCCCAUAUUUGGAACUUGAUUAAUCACAUUUGCUUUCUUUUAAUUUGACUUCUUAGUUCAUAAUUAGAUACUGCAACAUAAAGACAACCAAUCCUUGAUUGUUACUUGGUCUAGUUAGCAUAUUUGAAUUGAGUAAUAGCAUUAGAAAGAUCCUAGGGAAAAUACGAUUCCAUCAGUUUAUUCUAGUAGAAAUUAAAAGGCGGUGUAAGAUCUUCUCAUCAGUUAACCUCUGACCAACAGUUCUGAAAUAACUAGUAGCUCAUCUUGUCCUUCGUCUUAGUAAAAAAUUAUCCUAACAUGUCAUCCUCCGCAAAGGACCCAACCGAUCCACACCUCGGGGAUGACCUAAAUUAAACCACACCUCAGAUAGCUCGUUCUUGCCCCUUCGCUUCUUCUCUCCAAACCCUAGGGAGAUCAUCUAGGAUCAUGAGGAAACUUGGAGCACUUGGUGGUUCAUUGGAAGGAGGAACUCAUGGAGAUUGAAUAUUAAAAACCCUUCUCUUAUUCUUCCUCUUAGGCUUUUAUUACCUUUGUAGCCUAAGUCCCUUGUUAGUUAUUGGGUUGUUUGAGAUGUAGUUUCUAUGAUUGUCUCCUAAAAUCAUUUGGUUGGAUACAUGUGGAUGCUUAAUGAUAUCUAUUUAUGGCUUUGUUGUGCUUAGACCAUGGUGCUUGCAAUCUUGUAUCGGUUAUGGCUUUUAUGAGAUCAAAUUCUCAUGUACCUAUUCAUUAAUAGUAGUAGAAAUGUGUUUGUGUUUAGUAUAUGAUAAAUGAGGGUGUUGGUUCUCAUUAACAAGCCCCAAUUCUACCUUUAGAGGUAGGAUUUCUUUGUGGGAAUUUCAUCAAACACUUGGUGGGUGACCCGAAACAAAGAUUUCUUAUUGACACGAUUGAAGUCAGGAUGCUAGGGAUGUCUAUAAGUGACUUAAGAAUCCUCACCUUGGGUUCAUAAUACUCCCAAACUUAUCUGAACUCUUAGACAUUUUGUGGAUGGAUUGGACUGCUUCAAAUGUGGUGAGGCCACCAAUUGAGAACCAGAAUUUCAAGCUAAAGUUCCAAUAUAUCCAGAUGGUUCAACAUACUUAAUAUAGCGGUCUCGACUUUGAGUGCCCAAGUUGACAUCUCAAGGGUUUCCUCGAGAUAGUUGAAUUGAUGUGGUUAAACAAUGUCCCACAAGAUGUUAUCCUACUUCCCUUUUCUCUCUCAGGAUAGCAAAGUAUUGGCUUGACACUCAACCAUAGGCUCCACCACCUUCUCUUGCUCAGAAACUCAAGGGUCAUGUGACCUGGAUCUUUUUCUGUGAAGCAUGCGGUGAUGAAUGACAUGAUGUUUCCACUUACAAAGAUAUCGGUCCACCUUUUGUCCCGAAAGAAUGAAUGGUUAAAAAAGUUGACUACACGGCAAUGUGGUAGGAGGUUAACAAGGUAGUCAAAACUAUUGUGUUUAGAACAAUCAAGGAAAUUAAGGGAACUUCCAAAGAUCGAAUCAAGGUUUCCAAGGUGGAUUUCAAUGCUAUAACAUUCAAGGACUACCAUAAGGAGGAUACCUACAACGAUUUCAACGCUAUAACAUUAAAGGGCAUCAUGGAAACCCAAAUUAGAACCAAAGAGGAUACUAAUGAAGCUAUCCAAGCAACUAUCAACCACAAGGUUGCAAUCUAGGGGACUAUCAAGCACCAAACAUGCUCGCUUUGCCGCCACCACCUGGUUCCCAAAGUUUAACUACUCAAGGUAGUGCACCCUGGAGCGAUAACUCUGUCGUAAUAAAGAUACUUAAAGAGCAAACAACAUUCCUCCAAGCACAAUCGAAGAUUCUUUAAGAGUAUCGGACGUACCUAGAUACGUUCAACACCACUACACGAGCUAACAUGAUGGAACUCCAAAGCCAACUAGGGAUUUUCACUAAGGUUCUCUCGAAAUGGCAAAACGGUACUUUUCGAGUAAUACUAAGGUGAACCCUAAGUCUAAAAAGCAUGUGUUAGCUGUGGAUAUGGAGAUCAUAAGACCUUCUAGAUCAAAAAUUGAAUGCAUUGCUAAGUUCACCAAGGUCUCGUUGGUUCAAGAGGAAAAUCUACUCUCUGUUGCUUCCUCAAUCCCCGCAAUCGAUCUUUCUACUGAAGUUGGAAGAAGAACCAAAGGAAGACUUCAAUGAUGAAAUGAUAGAUCAUCUUGUUAAGAAUGAGCCAAUGGAGUUCUACAGUACUUCUAAGUACUACCUUUCCAAGACCGAUGACCCGGGUAGGUUCACCCUUCCAUGCCAAGUCGGCUUGCUUACGAUUGGUGAAACUCUCGUAGAACUUGGGGCCAACAUCAACCUUAUACCCUCCUUCAUCUAUAAGCAAUUAUGUGAUAAAGACCUGAAACCAACACAAUUGAGCCUUCAACUCGUCGAUCAGUUUCAAGUACACGGCGGGAAAUUACAGUGGACAUCUCAGUCAAAAUAGAAGCUUCGACUACAUGGCCGACUUUGUCAUGGUGGAUACCGACAUUACUCGGAAAAUGACGGUUAUCUUAGGACGAGCUUUCCUCACAGAUGCAAUAACAUUGAUCGAUACCUCCCGAAGGGAAGAUGAUCUUGCAGUAUCGGUAAAGAAUUCAAAGUGUUUGCUUGUUCCCAUGGUAACACUUCCAAGCUCACUAUUGAUAGUGCCCAUAAACUUGAUCCCUUUUGCAACUAUGCUUCGGCUAUCUCUAACACUAACAAUGCUUAAAAUAUGUCUUCCCAGUUAUUCGUGACAAGCCGUAUCCAGGCACUUAAGGACAAUGGAGAUACGAGGAGGAGAGACCACCCACCAAGGCACAUAAGAAAAUGUCGAAGUCAACCCAAAAGUCUAGUCUUGCCACGCUCAUUAAGAAGCAUAAGCACGAGAUUGCUUGGAAAGUGACCUGUAUCAAGGCGAUCAGCCCCAACUACUACAAGCAUCAAAUCUAUCGCGAAGAAGGCAAAAAACCAGUUUGCCAACCUCAGAGACGUCUUAACUCGCUUUUGAUGGAGGUAGUUCAAAAAUAUAAUUUCUAACUUCUAGAUGGAGGAAUUAUUUGCCCAGCUCAGACAGCAAAUCGGUUGGUCCAGUGCAUUGUGUACUAUAGAAGAAUGGAAUAGCUAUAGUUCCUAAUCGUGCGAGGGAAGUGGUUGCUACUAGAAUAGUUAGUGGUUGGAUAGCGUGCAUUGACUAUAGACAGGUAAAUGAGGCUAGUAGGAAGGACCACUUCACUUUUCCUUUCAUUCAUCACAUAUGGUUGUUUUGACUAAUCAUGCAGCCAUUAGGUACCUCAUGAGCAAACCAGAUACCAAACCGAGACUGAUCUGUUGGGUGCUUCUGCUUGAAGAGUUUGACAUUGAAAUCAAGGAUAAAAAGGGCAUAGAGAAUUUUGGUGCUGAUCAUAUCUCUUGCCUAGAGGGGCCUGAAGCUAGACUGGAGACAUGUUUUGAAAUUCAGGAAAUGUUUCUUGAAUAAUAACUAAAUGCCAUCAUGAUCACCAAAGCUGAAGGCCCUUGGUUUGUUCACUCCACCAACUUCCACGCUAGUGGGAAGAUUAGGAACGACCUUUCUCGACACGAGCGAAGGAAGUUUCUUCAUGACAUCAGGAAGUAUUAUUGGGAAGAUCCACAUCUUUUCUGAAUCGGCUCUCACAACAUAGUUCGCCGGUGUGUCACCCUCAGUAAAGCUCAUGACAUCAUGAGUCAUUGUCAUUUGGGACAGACUUGUGGUCAUCAUGGCAUAAAUUGAACAGCUUGCAAAAUUCUCAUUGUCGGUUUCUUUUUGCCUACCAUAUUUUAAGACUGUAAGAAUUUCAUCAACGCAUGCGAUCAAUGCCUCUAACUGUGAAUGUGCCUCUAGAUAUUUAUUAUAUAUGGCAGGUUGAUUUUAUGGGACCUUCCCCUACAUCUUAUAAGAACAUAAGCUCUCCCCACUAACGAUGCUAGGGUAGGUGGAGCGAUUAUAAGUGACCAAUGAACUUAUUUUCUUGGUCAAUUUGAUAGGGUGUGUGUAAAGUAUGGUGUUACCCAUCAUGUAGCCAUGGCUUACCACCCUCAGAUGAGUGGCCAAGUCGAGGUGACAAAUAUGGAGUUAACACAGAUCUUAGAAAAGGUGAUCUCGCACAAUUAAUUGACCAUUAGAUUAGAUGACGCCUUGUGGGCAUAUAGAACUGCUUUUAAAACUCCUAUUGGCACUUCCCCUUAGAUUCUUGUGUAUGAGAUAGCCUACCAUUUGCCUAUAGAACUCAAACACUAUGCUUGGUGGGCCUUGAGAACACUUAACUUGGAUCGUAGUGUUGCAAAAGAGGAAAGAAAAAUCUAGGUACACAAAUUGGAGGAGUGAUGAGAUCGAGCUUAUGAAAGCUCUAACCUACAUAAGGAACGUACCAAACGGUUCCAUGAUUCAAAGCUGAAAGGUGUCAAGGAAUUCAAGGUUGGCGAGCAAAUGCUCCUUUAAAAUUUCCACCUUCAUCUUAUUCCAGGGAAGCUGAGAUCCUGUUAGCCUGGCCCGUGCACUGUCACACAAGUUUUUCCUCAUGGAGUUGUGGAAAAUCACUUGCCCCGAUGAGGAUCCUUUCAAGGUAAAUGGGCAUCGUAUGAAGCUGUAUGUUACUGGUGAAUUCCUCGGAGUGGUCAAAUAAAUGAAACUAGCCCCUCAACUGAUCAGGGGUAAACCUAAACCAGCCGAGCCGAAGACUUGAGGGGUCUAGUUGAUGAUGUAAAACGAGCACUUCUCGGGAGGCAACCCAAGUUUAAGUAUUUGUUUUAUGUAAUAUUUCAAAUUUUGAGACUAGUGGUGUGUCUAGUGUUGAGUCGAUUGUGUUUGGAUGUUCAAAUUGUGUCCCGAACAUUUGGGGUGGCAUGGUGUUGUUAAGUGUAUGCAGGAUGAAGAAUCCGCCAACAGAUGAAAACAAUGUUGUGUAUUGAUAACACACGAUAUGUGUUAUAUCAUCUGUAAGUCAAGCCUCCUAAUACAGGGUCCUCUUUUGUCAACAUAGGCCUUAUAUUGGUAACACACGCCUUGUGUUACUAAUACAUGACCGUGUGUUGUAUCAUCCGUAACGGCUGCUUCCUAACACACGGUCGUGUGUUGUUAUCGCACGCCAUCUAUUACGUCCAGGUCAGUAACUAUUUCUUUUUUCUUAUUUUCUUCGAAUUUUCCCAUCAUCUUCCCCCUCUCCUUUACGCGAGCACAAACUAUCCUCCCACCACCACCACCAUCUACGUUUCCUCCUUCUCGUCUUCAUAUCCACAACCCACCAUCAAUCAUCAACGCACAUCUUAUCUUUCUCAAACCACCACCCCCAUCUACCCCAAAACCUUUCCCAUCAUCAUCUCCUCUAUUUCAGAUAAGAAGCUUCUACCAUUGAAGGCCAAACUCGAGCCCCAUCCUCAAUCUCUCUGUGUCGUCAGUUUCUUAUCGAUUACAAGCAUCCCGACUAGGCCAUUUAACAAGCAACAAAGGGAUAGCAAUGCUUCUUCUUCAGGAACUGCUGCACUAGCCCUAUGCUCUUUCUCUCUAGACUUCAAGUGGACGCAAGAGGAGAUAUUAUGACAUGAAAGUAGAAUAGGGAUAAUGUUAUUUCUCCACAUGGUACCUUGAUUAGCAAUAUAUGAUAACCAUAUAGUGGAAGGAUUGAUUUGAAGCAUAUCUUGGUGGAGGCAGAGUGCUUCCUCUAUUCCAAAUUCAAAGGGAAGCUAAUGUGUUGGUUAUAAAGGAAGUGAUCAAUUCUAUCACUUUCAAGCCCAGCCAAAACAUGAAGAAGGAAGGUUUCAUCAAGUUCCAACUUGGUGGUGUUCAUCAGAGUUGUUCUAUCGAUGAGUUUGGGGUAGCCCUUGGAUUUUACAAGGAGGAGGACUUGGUCGGGAGUCAUAAUUUGGAAAUAUUCAAAGAUCGGCCAAUGGCAUAUCACCUACAGAUUCGGCUUAUAAGUCGAAUCAAUCUAAGGCAGCCAUGAUUGAUGUAUUGAUUCUCUGGUUCUUGCAUGUGCUCCUUCAACAUACAAUAGGUCAGAUGGUGUAGUCUGACUGGGUCAUUGGUGCGAAGGACGUCUUCAAAUUUUACCACCUUUAGAAGGGCCUGACGAUGUAUAUGGUUCCGUUGGUAGCUUUCCCACUUAAGAACCAACAGACAAGGGAAUGAGUGAAGAAUGGGCAGCUUUUUUGUGACACCCUAAUUUUGCUCGGUUUUUGUGAGUCUCUAAGAACCGACUGUCAGAUGGACCAUCAUGGACAUGACUGACAGUCUCAUCAGGUAGAUCACAGUUGUGGACAAUAACGGUCACGAUCGUGACAAAUAGAAGAAUCACGGACAUGGUUGCCAGUCAACCACGUGCAUGUUGAUAAGUAGACCAUGGACAGAGGGGAGGACCUUAUUGAUCGAUUCCAGACCGGUAAGAGAGGCUUAAAGAUUGUUAAGGAAGAUUUAGAAGGUAAUAUAUCUUCUUCCUCUUUUCAUAAUCCUUUGUUUUGAAUCCUACAUACGAAAAUCUUGUUAGGUUAGGAUAUGGGGAUUUUGGGAUUUCAAUCCUAUGUUUGAUCACAAUAUGUCAUUCGGAUUGAGCAACCGAGCUUUAGGGAGGUGGCUUCAAAUCAGACUCUUCAGAGAAAAGCUUUUUAGAGGUAGGGGUUAUGAUUACGUUUCUGCUUUACGCGAAGAAUUGUAAUUAGUUCUCAAGAGUCCUUGUUUGUAUUUUCAGGACUGUACAGUAGCAUGCGAUCUACUAUACAAGUGGUUGUGAUUUGUAGUUGAGUAUUUUAGGUUGUGCAGUAGAUCAGACAACUACACUGACAGUUGCUAUUUUCGAGCAUAAGUUCACAACGAUGAACUAUGCGUGUGAUUCAUAGUUCAUGUUUCGGAAAAGAAUCAGGACUAGUUAAAUUAGCUCCUAUUAUACGUUGGACGCCCACUCUUUGGAUUGCGCAAUCCCCCAGGAUUUAUUAAGGUUUAGACAGGACGUGUUGGUAGGCUUGGCACCAAGAUAGCUCUUGAGACGGUGACUGUUGACCUUGAAUGUUCGUUGGUCCGGAUGUCUGAUCUCCACGGUGCCGUAGGGGAAGGAUUGUGUGACUUCAUAAGUUCCUCACCGUCUAGAUUGGAGUAUUGAAAGUGUUUUGAUAAGCCUAUAGAGCUUCAUGCCAAAUCGUCCAAUCUUAGCAAGACUAGUCAACUGUCUUCUCAAGAAUCCGCUUUAGUUCACGAUUCGUCAUUUCCGCUUGACCACUUGCCUGCAGAUGGUAAGUGGUGGUCAAUUAAUAAGUUACGACUAAUUUUUGGCAAACAUGGUCGAAUUGACCUUGGAAGUGAGUACCCCCAUGUCACUAAUGAUAGUGUGAAGGGUACCGAAAAGCAUGAAUAGGCGAGUGAUAAACUUUCCCACUAUCGUAGCAUCAUUAGUAGGCAGCGCUUGUGCCUCUGUCCACUUUGACACAUAAUCCACAACAACAAGAAUGUACUUAUGACUAUGGGACUAUGGAAAAGGACGCAUAAAAUCUAUCCCCCAUACAUCAAAAGCUCUACAGACAUCGAUGUUGUCAUUGUCAUUUCAUUCCUAUUUUAUAAGCCAGUCACGAUAUAAGCCAACCCAUAGAUUGCGCGAUCUCCUUGGUUACAUUCAGUUUCAGGCAGUACGUGACGAGUAUGGCUUCAGUUGCUGCUCUCACAGUAUUUCAGGGUGGUUUCAUGGUUUAAUCCACCUUGAGGCCGUCCGCUCAGAGCUAGGGGUAGCUAAUGUUAGGAUGAUGUCGACAGGACCACAAGCUCACAUUACUAGAUACUAGUUCAUUUCUUCAUGUUUAGGCUCAGCUACUCAGUGCUUAUCACUGACCCCUUUACAUUUCUUCAUCGUGACCAACCUUGGGACUUCAGGAGCCAGUGCCGCCUAAAAAUGAAGCACGAGCAGCGACACCACCUCGCAGUGACUCUGGGGGUCGCAGAGAAAGGUACCAUGGAGGAUCUCAGCUAUCUCUAUAAGUGUUUUUUGUGGAUUUCAGACAGUCUUUCACGUUUUCAGUUGUUGGUCAGACUUAUUUUAUAGUUGUUAUUUUCCCCAAUUUGGGAUGUUUUUAAGUGAUGUUAGUUGUCUGUUUCGAGCCUUUACUCUCUUUUUCUUUCCGCUGUCGUCUUACUUAAGUAUUGAGGAUUUUUCAGUUUAGUGAAUGUAUGUCAGUUAUCAUGAUUUAUAUAUUGAGUGAACCCGUGAGCCAUUCAUGGAUCGAACUAUGUGGUUCGAUCGAGUCGUCCAGGGGCGGGUUGCGCAAUUUUUGUACACUUUGUUUCUAUGUUUGUAGCUUGGUAAACUAGAUGGGAAAUAUAAGGAUUGGAGAAGCUUAUCACAUAAGAGAUCCCAUACGGUUUAGGAUACACCAACCUUGUUCUGUAAGAAGGGCAAGGCAAAAAGUUAUGAAAUCUUUGAAACCUAAGCUUCCCUACGUUUUCUGUCUCGAGCUUCUGCUUCCUUUCACCCAAUGAGUGCAUCUUUUAUUAGUCCAAUCUUUGAAACCUAAGCUUCCCUAUGCUUUAGGUGUCAUGCUCUAGCUUUCUUUCACCCAAUGACUACAUCUUUCAUCUGAAAAAGCACACGAUUGAGGGUUGAGCACCAUCUAAUACUGUUUAAAGCUCCAUCUGCCAACCUCCUUAGGAAAUAGAGACAAUUUCUACAGAGGAUCAAGAAAGCACAAACACUUAAAUAUUGUUCGAUUGAUUAUCUGUCUAGAUUUGAUGAAAACUUGAUUAUGUGUUAAUUCUACAUUACUUUGAUUAUGUUUAUGCGAAACUAUCAUUGAUUUUGUUCUUGUCUUUCUCUUGCAUAAAGCUAUUGCCAUAUCUUGCAAUUCUCAAAUUCGAAUUGUAAGGUUAUCGUUAAGAUUUGGUUUGGAUGCAAAAGCAUGACUAAAUACCUAAACGCAAAGAGUUGGAAUCACCAUUUCCAUAUGCUCGAGAGAGGGUCAGAACGUUGGUAACGUUUGAUUUAUCACAUUCAUCGCCCACUUUUAAGAAACAUUUCAUAAUUGAGAUUGGCGAUUCCCGUUCUUCAAAGAUAUUCGGUGAAAUUAGGUUUUUCGAAAUUUUUCUUAUAACCCUAAUUUCAAUGUUUUCUUUCGAUAGUUAUGAUUUGUUAAUAAAAGUAAUGAUUAGCUAAACUCCUUGUUCUUAGAUGAGAUGAACCCUAGGUGAAUUCCUUAUGAGAAAAUGAUUUGUAGACUGAUGGUUUAUGUGAGUUCGAUGGAUGAUUGUUUAUGUUUAAUUUCGAGAGGCAAACAUGUAGGACUAAGGAGAUGACAAGGUUAGAGAUUGAGAAGAAGAAAGAAAAUGCAACUAAUGAAAAAAAGAGAGAGCAAAGUCUUUCAGCUAGUAUCUGCUCAUCAUCCUCAUUUUUUGUAAUGCCAUUACGUCAUAGGGCGACAUACUUUCUAUCCAUGGUCUUGCACUUUAGUCCACCAACACAUCAACUGAAUCUAUAAAUGUUGUUGGCUUAGACUUGCUUUUCUUUUUACCUGUUGAUUAGUAAGUAAAUGUUAGUCUUGAGUUUUAUNNNNNNNNNNNNNNNNNNNNNNNNNNNNNNNNNNNNNNNNNNNNNNNNNNNNNNNNNNNNNNNNNNNNNNNNNNNNNNNNNAGAGAUAGCUUCAGCCUGCAUUGUCCCCUCAAUUACGAUCCAUUAGAGAUGCCUGCACCUACAAAAGAACAUGUACGAAGCUCAUUAGGCCUUUUUUCUAAAGAAGCAAAAAACCAUUGUGGGGAGAAUCGAUGAACUUGUUCUUGUUUUCCAAUUUCACUCUAUCAAUCAUAAACCAAGGAUCGAGGAUUUUAUUUUAUAUGUUAGGUUCAGCAACCAAAUUCAAGAUUCCUAGUUAAUUUGAGAUUGGAGGUGUUGUAAAAGAAUGUUAAAUCAAGAGAUAUGAGGGUUUCUUAAGUNNNNNNNNNNNNNNNAAAUAAGUUUAUAAUCCAUUUGAUUUGAUUGGGAAACACAAUUACAUUUGGAAUCUUUGUAUUCCAUUAUCCAAAGUUUCCUUCCACAAUUCCUCUUUAUUCAAAAUCAACUUUUUGACACCAGUCUCAACUCAACAUUCCUAGAAAUCAUAAUUCUUGUGCUAAACCUAGCCGGUAAAGUUUCAACCUACACAAAAUAUGGUAGAGAGAAGAAGGUUAAAAAUCAUACUCCCAAAUACAAAGCCUUGAUAUACCAGCAAUCUCACACUCCUAGUCAUGGAUAAACCAAGUCUUAUCGCAAACCAAGAACUAUGGAAAUACAUUUGGACGGAGGGUACAAAUGUUCAUCCAAGUAUGUAUGACUUAAUUGACUUAAUUAGGCCCUGCAGGCGAUGACAGGCUUAGGCUGGCUCAUUAUGCAUCCAAAAAAAGUAGAUGCAUUAUUAUACAUAUUCUAAAUAUAUCCUAAGAGUCCAAAAUCCUGUCCAAAGCGUGUGAAUGGCAGAAUGGGCAGUCACCAGGAGUAAACAAAGAACCAUGUAAAGGACUAAAAGACGUAAACCAGGAAAAGAUAAACAUACCAUCAACAACUGCCAUAUCUACAUAAUCCAUGGUAACAAAUCCUUUUUCCACAACGUCUUUCUGGUCAUGUAAGUACAGUAGCCAAAAUGAAUAAACUCAGCAUAAUUCACCUACAAAUAUUAUUUGCUUCAGCAAUAGGGAAAGAAAAAGGUUCAAGUUACAGCACAAGACAACUCACAACAAUCAAACAAAUUGACGAACAUACUUUGCACCAUUUUUUUCAACAGCUUGCGCUUGCGUUGGCAGAGACCGAUUGAUUUUAUAGUUUAGCCUUCAAUUUCGCGGUAAGAGGAUCACCGUGAGUGAUUCUCUUUGUCCGUUUCUCUCAAGAGUCAUAAAACCUUGAACGAAAGUAAAUGGCAAUUAUCGGGUUUUUGUAUGCGAGCAUACCAAAUUUGGGCAUGGUGUUCAAAUUUUGUUGGGUUACUUAGCCUCCAAACUGGAAGUUAUAGCUUAAACCCAAUGUUCUGAAUUGAUCUAGUAGGUGUGAGGUUCAAGGUUUGAAGGUUUGACUAUGGUCCGAUCAUUUUAAUUAUUAAUUAAACAUGUAAAUAUGAUUACGCUAGAUCGAACAAUUUUUUCAUUUAAACGGAUCAAACCAGUAGUAUAGAUAAACUUGAAAAUAGGUCCAUGAGUUUCGGGUACCCACUGAAGCCUGCCAAAAAUAAAUGGCCCAAAACCCAGGCGAAUAUUUAACGAGCUCGAGCUGUACCCGAGGCCCGAGAAAAGCUUGUGACGGGCGGUCACAGAUACUGUGGUAUCCGCUCCGAAUCCACCCCGAUGAUAAAACGACUUCAUUUUGUAAUACUAUAAAUAUUAUGUUUUAGUUAGUCUUUAGGGUAUCAAAAAUUUUCGUCGUCAGUUUCAUUUCAUCUCCAAACUUGGGAAACCCUAAAACUAUUUCCUCUCAAUUUGAUUGCAAUUCCAACCUCCAAAAUUCUGAAAUUGCUUCGAUUCCCACUUAAUUUCCUCAACUUUAACCUAUUGUCUCUCAAUAAUCAACUAAUAAAUUAAAAUCCUCAUCAGUUUUUACUCAAAAUCGACAUGCAUCCAUGGAAAAUGCCUCAAUCAACACAAAUCUGCUUCGAAUCGGGCAUUCAUUCGCGUAUCUAAAUUUUUACCCAAACUCAAAAACUAUAAUCUGCUAUAUUUUAUUGGGAUUUCACCCUUCCCAUGUAAGUAUCUAAACUUGUUGUAGGUAUUUACUUCGUCAUCUUGUCAAAUCAACAAAUUGUAUAAACAUCUAAGUCUAACUAAUGAGUAACAGGUUAUUUUAUAGAUGUUGUCUUUAUUUGAAUCUAAUGAGUGAAAGAAUAUGAUCCAUGAUGACUAAUGACGAAAAGUUGAAGCUUACUUGUCAUGAUUAGUUGGUUCUAAGAUUCAUGUUUAUGGAAUUCCAAGUUCACGUUCUUGAGUUGUAGGUUCAUGCUGCUGCGUUUUGGGUUCUUAUUUUUAGGUUCUAGUUUCAUAUUUAUGGGUUUUGGGAUAGUUACUCUGAACAUUUAGAUAAUCAAAUAUUCAAUAUUAAUGAAAGUUUUAUAUUUGAGUUUAAGUUUUGCUCUCUAUGUUCUUGUCGGGUAAAACCGGCAGUCAUGAGUUUCCCCGUUAUCCGCUACAUAAUGGGCAUAGUUGUAGGUUUGUACCCGUCAACCUUAAUGGACCAGGCAUCGGUAAAACCCCAAGGGUGUGAAACACGGAUAGUAGAUCAGAUGUAUCCGCCCCAUAUCCAACCCAUUGUGAUGAUUAAGUAUACAAAAUAAAAUAUCAUAAUUUAAUUUAUAAAAACAAUAUUUAUUAUUGAAUCAUUUUUAAGAAGAUUGAAACUAUAUAAAUAAUUAGAAGUUUCUUAUUACUCAUAUGCUUGAGAUUAAAUAUAUAAUUUACUUAAUUUAUAGUAAGAUACAAUUUUUACAAUGUUAAUUAGUGUUACACCCUAAUCUUAGGGAUUUAAAUUUAAGUUAGAAAUCCCUAAGUUACCCUUACAAAUGUCUAAGAGAAAUUUCAUUAUAAUGCUAUUGUUUUUUUAAAAUAAAGGUCUACUCAUGUAUUAAUUAUCAAUUUAAAAACACAUAUCGUUCAAAUAAUUAAGGAGACUCAAUUUAUCAACUUAUCAAUAUAUCAACUUAACGGAAAUGAUGGAGGAGUCACUCCUAUACAAUUAAGGAUACUCAAAUAACCUAGAUUGCCUAGCCAACACAUGAGCAACUUUGUUACACUUCCUCCGCACAAAACAAACUGUAUAAUUUGGUUUUGAGGCAAGAAUGUCCCGACAACGCCUGAUGAUAUCACCAACCACUAACCCAUCCUGUAGCAUACUUGCAUUAAUAGCUUGGACAACUGCUUGCAAAUCUGACUCUAAAAUAAUGCUCUAGGUUAAGAUCAACAAACCAUUGCAGACCCUCCAACAUCGCUAGAGCCUCAUACUCCAUGCUGCUAUUACCUCCAUUCUCCGUACAAGCAUCAUAGCCAGCACAUCCCACAAACACAUACUUGCGCCAAUCUCUGCCUGCUCCGGAAACAAAACAACACCAAUAUUACAUUUGACAUCACAAUCUUCAUGUGGAUGCUAUUUUUGACAAAGGUUGUUUCUUGUACUUGGCUUGACCACUCCUCGACGUUGUUGCACCGUGUCCCAAGAUUCUACAAUCUCGACAGCUACAGCCACUAUCCGCCUCACAGUUUGCAACAAAGCAUUCCACAGCCUCUCAUUAUAAUACAACUGUUACUAUUAGAAUAAGUAUGAUUAUAAUUAUAGGAUUACGACGCUUAUUCUUCUAUGUAUGAAUUAGCAUUAGCAUCUGAAUUUCAGAUUAAUUAGAGUAGAUUCGAAACUACUAGUAUCGAUUAACCAUCUAACCCCUAAUCGAUUUAGUGAGGUAAUUCAGUCGCCAGGUCAGGACUUAAAUGCAAUAACAGAACUUGAAUCAUGAAAUUCAUUGUGGCCGAGCUACAAAGUAAUCGCACCCAUGACUUAGAGAUUAGGAGUUUAAAUUUCAACAAUAACCUUAUCUUUUAUAUUUUUUUCCUCCCUUCACUGCAUCUGAUGAUGUCAAGAGAAGGAUUUCACUCUUAACGAGCCUGUCAAUGACGUAUUUUAAAUCUGUAUCCAUCGUAAUUCUAACUCGUUCUCAAGAUAAAGGGCUUCCUCAUGCAUCCCUUUACCAUCUGCUUGGUCUACUGGCUGUCUCUGAAACCAUUUGGUUGAAGCAUUGUUGGAAAUAAUCAUCUCAACUCCAGAUAUGGAAAUCCAACCAACUCGCAUAAAUCCUCAAAUUUAUCAAAUCAGUCGUUCAUAAGAAUUAACCUAGGGUUCAUCUAAUAUAAUACAGAGGAGUUUAGCUGCCCAUAGUUUUGGAAGACAAAUCAAAAUCAGAAGAAGAAGUCAUUGAAUCUAGAUUUACAAAAGAAACUAUGAAGAACCUAAUUCUGCUAAUAUUCCUGAAAACAUGAUUCGCGGUCUUAAUCCUUGCGCAGAUUACAAGCUCCUUGAAGUUACCGUUUCAUCGCUCUCAAAUAUCUCACUAAUGCUCUCAAUUUCAUCCGGGAAAGUCUCUGAAAUAUGAGCGAGAGCUAGGCUUUUAAAGAGAAUGAUUCCUUAAGCCUGACGAACUACCAAUAGUGCACGACGCAUUUUUGGUCAUUUCAUAGCGCACUUUUGUUCAUAUUUACAGAAACCUUCGAUUUUUAAAGUUGUAGAAAAUUGAUUUAGAUCUUGGUCUCGGAAAAGUAGUUCUAAAUCGGUAAAUCGUCUAGUGGGUUGUAGAUCUUUGCACAGAAGAGCAGACUAGAUUACUAGAUAGAUAUCAAAUUAGCACUCCCAAAAGGGCGUGAUUUGAGUAGAGAAGAAUUGCGACAAUGUAUUGCUUUUAUCAUGUUUCGUGUAAAUAGUGGAAUUUGUCUAUCAUUUUUAAAUCAGAAUUGCCUAGUGGGAUUCGACAUGUAAGCAUUUUCAUCUUUGAUUGUCUAAACUAUUAUCAUGCAGUCUUGCAAACCAUGUACUUUAAAGCAAAUUUCAUUGAUUUUUACUUUGAUUCAUUGAUUUAUCCUUGUGGCACCUUGCUAUUGUUGGAAUCGUCUCAUCGUCCUGUACCCAUCAGAUACCUGCAAACUCACAUAUACAAUGAGAAAGCAAGUUGAACGGACCAAAAUGGUUCGUUUGAGAAAACAAAACAAGAAACCCUUGUUUCUUACAACCAAUCAUAAAGGAGGGUCAAAACUAGGUCAAACAAGAUCAACAAGAAUCAUGUUGUGGUCAAAUCGGCGACGAAUAAACAUGCUAUCACACCUAAACCACAUUCAUUGAUACCUUGAUUGAUAUCAAUUAAAAUUUUGAAUAAGAUAUUAAAAGAGACCCUACGGAGAUUUUACUCCGGUAAAUUCAGUAGCCGGAAUAUUUUGAUAACGCCUACAAACGUCCAUCAUAUUGGCACCGUUGCUAGGGAUUUCUUUUUAGUAUUUGAAAGUAGUUUGAUUAGUAUUCAUAUUGACUCCCGCUUGAAAUUUUUGGGUUUGCAGUUACUUUUUACGAUGUUAAUUGUUUUUCUUUGCGCAGAAGAGAAUUUAUUACAUGUCACCAGUAGUGACACGACCAAGAUUAUGUCAAAAUUAGGAUUCACGCUCAUCAAUUGAAGAAGGAGAGAUUGUUGAAUCUCUCAAAGCUCUAUUAGGAAUUGACGAAGAGUCUCAGCUCGAAGACUCUUCAGACACAGUCCACAGUUACACUUCCAAGCAUACUAAACCAAUGGUGGCACCAAGAACCCUUACUGAUUAGACCAAGCCUGGUUCUGCAAACUCCACAUGAAGUGUGGUUCCGCUUGAGCAAGAUGAUGCUAAUUCAGCAGAACUUGAAGUUUGAAGGAAGGACGGAUCAAAAUCCAUGCGAUCAUCUAGUCGAUUUUUAUGCUUAUUAUGAGACUAUUAAACUUCAAGGUUCAUCGAAGAAGCAAUGAAGCUUAAGUUGUUCAAAUGGUCUAUUCAAGAAGCAGCUUGAAGAUGGUUGACUAGUCAACUCGAAGGUAUAUUAGAGAUUGGGACACUCUAGCUGAAGCUUUUGUAGAAGAGUAUUAUACCCACUAGCGAAGAUCUACAGCUAUUCGAGAAUCAAUCUCUAAAAUUCAUCAAAGAUAAGGAGAAAGCUUAUAUGACUUGUGGAACAUAUUUCAGGGGCUAUUAUUCUGACUACCCUCACCAUGGUUACACAGACAGUCAGUUGGCAUAUACGUACAACAGUUCCUUAGACCGAGCGACUUUAAUGCUAGUAAAUCAACUAACAAAUGAAGAUGUAACUACCAAGUCUAGACAUUGGUCAAGGAAUACAAUUCAACCAACACAAGUAGUGUCUUAUGAUAAUUCAGAUAAUAUUGCCUUGAGAGCUCAGGUUAAGGCUUUAGAAUAGAGGAUGGAUAAUUUGAAGGUUGCAAAUCCCCCUUCUGCAUCUAUCUACACAUGUACUUGGUGUGGUAUUUGUGAUAAUUUAUACACCAGCAAACCAAUGACUAUGGAAGAAGUAUAUUUUGUGUGAGGGGGUUAUUACUUCAGUCAGCAGAGAUAUCAAGACUUAAGAGCAAACAAUGCAGGAGGCCGACAAUCCCAACAUCCAUAUCCUCUGAUUUCUACAAGCCUAGAGUAGAGGAAUUCCAAGUAAAUUCAAGCAACCAAGAACCGCUAGGAUUUCCAGACUAGCCACCUUAGCAACCACCACAACAAAAUUCGGCCACCACUAGAGGAUUUAAUGAUGACAUUAUCCAGAUGAUGAAGACCAUGCAUGCGUAGUUGGCAAAUCAAAACAUUAUUUUGGAGGCAUCCGACACAUCUUUGGCACAAAAGGUUGAUCAAAACCUUCUGAACGGCUCCGGGGGAAGACUGAACAAAACCCCAACAACAAACAAAAAGUACAUAUGGAAGUCUAUUUCAUUGAGGAUAGGAGAUUCAGGGAAAUCCCAAAUCCUUUAAAGAGCCAGAGAUGGUUUCCAAUGAUAUUGCUACUAACAUUCCAGAGGACGAAGAGGACACUCAUGUGGUGGCAGCCAGUACUUCUCCUAAAGCUUGAAAACCUGCAAACAAAAAUUUUGUGCUCAACCAAGAAGCAUGCUAGGAUUCCAUACCCAUUAGCAGUCAAGAAUAAGGGGCUAUCACAGGAGUGAGAGAUUUCUUGAAAUCAUCAGGAAGCAAGAGGUCACACUAACCGUCCUAGAGACUUUCAUAAAGAUUCCAUCAUAUGCCAAGUUCUUGAAUGAUGUAUUAAACAAGAAGAUCAAUCUCUAUAUGAAGAAGGUGCCGGUAUCCAAGUCAGACCUACAAAGCGAAAAGACCCAAGGAGCUUUACUUUACCAUUUUUGGCUACUACUGAAGCUGUGAUUGGUGUUUGCAAAGGGUGUCUAACUCUGAAGUUUAGACAAGAUUAGGUCCCUUUUUACUCAAAAGAUGGCAUGAAAUACUCUAAGGCUUAGGAUGAUGAUAAUAUUUCAGACAAUUAUCAAGAUGCCUCUAAAAUGUUUGAAUUGUCUCAUAUUCUUGUUGGAGAUGUCUGUCCUGUUAUAGGUGUAUAUUAAGAUUGGAUGAACGACAUGGAGCAGAGGGCACAUGAAAAAGCCAUUGAACAACUGGAGACCUACUCUGGUGCGUCACCGCAGAUAGAACUUCCAAAGAUCUCGAAGAUAGCCACAUCUUAUGAAAAGCCACCAGAGUUAGAUCUGAAGCUACUAGCAUAACAUCUCGAGUAUGCAUUUCAUAGAGAGGGUUUGAAAUUACCAAUCAUCAUCAGCUCAAAGCUUGAACCUCAGUAGAAGGAGGAGCUUAUAACGCUCUUGAAGAACUAUGAAUAAGCCAUAUCAUGGAUGCUUACUAAUAUUAAGGGAAUUAGCCCGUUAGUUUGCACCCACAAAAUCAAUUUGGAAGCUUAUGUCAAACCUGUAGUGCAACAAACAACAUCGUUUGAAUCCAGCUAUGAAGCAAGUGGUGAAGAAGGAGUCACUCAAACUACUAGAUGUAGGUAUCAUUUAUCUAAUUUCUGACACUCAUUGGGUUAGUCCUACACAGGUUGUGCCAAACAAGGGUGGAUUAACGGCUAUGCCUAACUACAAGGGACAGCUCAUCCCUACUUAUACAGUCAAUGGAUGGAGAGUGUGUAUUAACUAUAGUCGCCCCAAUGAUGCUACAAAGUAAGACCACUGUGAAUGUUAAAACUGUGCAUAGGUUCUGAUGACAUGUAGGUUUCUAUCAUUGAUUUAAUUAAGGAUUUCUCUAAUAUUACAUUUCCUAUGACUGGGUUGUUAGAGAAAGAUGUGCCAUUUGUAUUUGAUGAUAAAUAUACGCAGGCAUUCGAAUAAGUCAAGAAGAAGCUGACGAUUGCAUCGAUACUGGUCUCCCCGGAUUGGGGAGCCUCUUUUGAACUAAUGUGUGAUUCUAGUGAUUUUGCAGUUGGAGCUGUGUUAGAAAAAAUGACAGAUUAGAGGUGUCCUCCAAUCUACUUUGCUAGCAAGACGCUUAAUGAUGCACAAAGGAACUACACAACUAUGGAAAAAGAGCUCUUAGUGAUUGUCUUUGCAUUCGACAAGUUCAGGUUCUAUCUAGUGUUGUCUCAUACUAUGGUUUUCAUUGACCAUUUUGCUCUUAUGUAACUUCAAGCCAAAUAAGAUGCAAAACCAAGAUUAAUUCGAUGGGUCCUAAUCCUUUAAGAGUUUCACAUAUUUAUCAAAGAGCACAAAAAAUGUUGUAACAUACCAUCUUUGUUGCGCCUUAAGGGCCCUCUUCCUGGUCGAUUUGCCGAAUCAGAGAUUAAAGAGCUCUUCCCUGGUGAACAGUUGUUCCUCUUAGAAGAGAAGCACUGAAAGUCCGGAGCAUCACCCCAAUAAACACCCAUGUUAUGCCGAGAUAGCUAACUUUCUCGCUGCCAGGACAUUUUGAGAGGAUUAUAGUCAUCUGCAAUGGAGGAAACUGAUUUCUAACGCCAAGCAUUACAUUUGGGAUGUGCCCUACCUCUUCCAUUGUGGGUAUGAUGGAGUGAUUAGACGAUGUGUGACCGCAUAUGAGUCGCUCAAAAUCAUGCGUUGCUGUCACACCAGUCCCUCUGGGGACAUCACGAUAGAAACCGCAUCGCUUGGAAGAUUUUGGAUGCAGGAUUCUAUUGGAGGAAAAUUGGGAAGGACUAUGGACAUUUCAUGAAGAACUGCGAUCCAUGUCAACGUUCAGGUAACGUUUCAAAUAGGAAUGAAAUGCCAAUUAUAAUAUCCAUGUCGGUAGAGAUUUUUUUAUGUGUGUGGGUUUGAUUUUAUGGGUCCUUUCCCACAGUUUCAUCAUAAUAAGUACAUUCUUGUUAUUGUGGGUUAUGUGUUAAAGUGGAAAGAGGCACAAGCGUUGCCUACUAAUGAUGCUAGGACAGUGGGAAAGUUUAUUACUCCCUUUUCAUGCUUUUCAGCACCCUUCACACUAUCCUUAGUUACAUGGGGCUACUCACUUCCAGGGUCAAUUCAAUCGAGUUUGUCAAAAAGUUAGCGUAAAUUAUUAAUUAACAACUGCUUACCAUCUGCAAGCAAGCAGUCAAGCUGAAGUGACGAAUCGUGAACUAAAGCUGAUUCUUGAGAAAACUGUUAAUCAGUCUCGCAAGGAUUGAUCGAUUUGGAUCGAUGAAGCUCUCUUGGCUUAUCGAACCACUUUCAAAACUCUUAUCGGCACUUUGCCGUAUUGACUGGUUUAUGGCAAGGCUUGUCAUCUACUAGUCAAGCUUGAGCAUAAGGAAUGAUGGGCCAUCAAGUUACAGAACAUGGGUACUAGUCUCGCAACCACUAAAAGGAAAUAUCAGCUCCUUGAGCUAUAGGAUUACAUGUUUCACACUUUUGAGAGCUCAUGGCUGUAUAAGGAGUAGAUGAAACGCAUCCAAGAUGCAAAGCUAUAAAGUGUCAAAGAAUUCAAACAUGGAUACAAAGUGCUGCUUUAUAACUCCUGCCUCAGACUAUUUCUAGGAAAAUUCCAAUCAAGAUGGUCAGGACCUUAUGAAAUCACGCAAUCUUUACCGUACGGAACCGUAGAGAUCACACACUCGGACCAAGGAACAUUCAAGGUCAAUGGUCACCGUCUCAAGCGCUAUCUCCAUACCAAGCCUACCGAUGUAGCCGAAGUUUAUUACUUUGAGGAUGCAUAAUAAAAGGCCACGUAUCGUCUAGUUGAAAGACGUUAAAAAAAGAGCGCUUCAUGGGAGGCAGUGUGAACUAUUUUGCGAUAAUCACAAGAGGAAUAUUAGGAAUUUCCUAUACUUAUUAUAUUUUGAGAAGUGAUUUAGGGGUUUGAGUAAUCUAACCAUAUACUUUCAAAAGAAAAAGUAAUCUAACCAUAUAAAAUGCAUUUGUAUUUUUUUAUAUUGCCACAUAAGCUUUUCCCUACUUUACUUGCUACUCCUUUAUUUUUCCAUUGCCCACUCCCACGUAAAGAGAUAAACCCAUUAUAUGUUUGUUGAUAGUUUCCCGAGGUUGAUAGUUUCUUCGUAUGUUUGGCAGAUCUGGCAGGUGGUAUGGGACAAAAUUUCUGCGAUAGAGGAUCGAUUUUGGGGCUAGGGCAUUAGAGCUGUAUCUCGAAAGAAAGAAAAGGAUUUUAGGGGCCAACUUCAUUUUCCAGAGAUAUUUCUAGUUACUUGUUGGGAUGCUGGGCACAGCCUAGAGAUCUUUGAAUCUUAAAUGGAAAAAGCUGCAGACCUUUUGAACUUCCACCACUAGCUAUCCGCAUAGUCGGAGUGCCUAUCAGGACAAUCCUAUUUGCCAUGGUCACAUAGGGAGAGCAUUAGUAACUGAUGGUUGGAGAUUACAUUCUCUACUGUUUGUCCUCUAAAAUGACCAUAGGGUCCUCGCCCUUUGCUUCUUUAAAUACAUCACUUUUCUCCUCAACCAAAUUCAUCUUAUCAACUCAAUUAUUCUCCAUCAAGCGGUCCGUCAUUUUCUCAACUAAAUUCAUGAUCGAACAGAGCAAAACCCAGAAUUAGAGGUUCUAACGGUGAUAAGAGAAAAUUCCUUAGGUGAGGGAAAGAUAAGGAUCUUCCUCUAGUGUCAAAAUAUGUGAGGUAUUCCUUUUUUUCCUUUUUAUAUAUUUCCACUAUGUCUCUUUUUUUGUCGGGUUUGUUAUCCCUUGACCAAAAACUUUGCCAUUUGUUGUAUUGGUUAGGAUGUCAUUAUUGUGAGUGAUUCGUGUUUCUCAAUGAGAAAAUACUUCGUGGUGGCGUUCUUUGAUCUGGCUCUUCUUCAGAUAAAGAUGCGUCUAAAGUUUCUCUUGAAACUGUCGAACUACAUAAGGUUGUUUUGGCGCAAGAUAAGAAUCUCGAAGAUAUUGUUGUAAUUUUUAUGACUAUAUCAGAUCGCUCACAUCCUUCAUCGGGGGGGGGGGGGGGGGGGGGUUUUUUCCAUUUUUUUAAAAAAAUGAGGCGUUUUGAUAAGGCGUCAUUGUCCCUAGCCUAGUGGUUGCAUUGUGACUUGAUCUCCCUUUCUUGGUCUACUUUCCUCAUGAUGGAAACUUGGAUGGGGCAAAGUGUUUCUUUUUCAGGAUUUUUGGUGGUGUGGGGUUCAUUUUUUUGAUGGUGUGGCGUUCAUUUUUCCUUUCUGAUUUUUCUCCCUUAAACUAGAAGAAAAUAUUAUUCAUGUUCAUUAGUCCCCUAUCAUUCAAUCAACCUAGUAUCCCUAAGGUGACUAUGUUCCUUCUUUCGCAUCUUAUAUAAUUUUAUGUUAUUGGGAUAACUAUUCGGGGUAUGUGAAGGGCAUUUUCGACCUUUAGUGUUGAAAUAAUAAUAGGGGUAUGUUGUACUGAAAGAGCUAUCAAUUUUUGUCCCGUAAAUUUUCUUUCUUCAUUUGUUGAACCCCUUUUCGCCGACACUUUCCUAUAUAAACCCUUUCCCUCUUUUUCUUUUCUUUCAUUCCUUUUCUUCCUUCUGCUUCUUUUUAAUCCACUAGAUGUUCUGAUAGGAUUAACAUAGCAAAAGUUGGCAAAGUCCACAGAGAGUCUCUUCUCUUCCUUAAAGUCCAUAGAGUUCUUAGUUCUAGGCGGAUGAUCGGAAUAAGAUUUUGGAGAUGGUUGAUUGUAAGGGAUCACACCAUUCCCCUACAAUUCCAACCGAUAAGCUUCAUUUCAAAGGAGGUGGGAUACAGAUGGCCACAAACUCCUCAGGUAUUGCAUCUUGGACAAUAGUAUUAGUAUUAGCUUCAUUCAAUUUUGCUAUAGCGAUAUUACCUCCUCCUUUGGUUGCUUGGUAUUUGAGCUUUGACUUCCUGGUAAACUUUAGCUUGUGACUAGUGGGAGAGAUAGAGAGGUUAUUGAGUUCAAGACGUGUGCUGUAUUCCUCCAAAUGAAACUUCCUUUUUUGUGCAUUGUGUUCAGUAGGAUCCUUUUGUUGGAUCGUCACAAUGAUGGUUGUGUGUAGAUGAGUUCCAACAAUUUGCUGCAUAACUCUGCCAUGUUGGAUAGUUGGGCUGAGGAAUGGGUGUGGGGCAAGACACUGUUGAUGCGUCAGUGGGGAUGCCUAUAAGGUAAAUGGAAGCUGAUUGGGUAUUUUAGAGAUGGUUGAACUGUUCAAACCAUGCCGGGGUGAGCUUCUCGAUAUUUAUUAUUGGGCCUAGGGACUAGAGUUUCGUCUAAUAUUGAUGAUGUGGGUCACACAAGGCCCAUGACCAAUGUUCUGGGACAAGAAAAAAUUCAAACCCUGGCGGGACCUCAGGAGCCUUAGAGCUGUUAUUGGCGGCGCUGACUUCUACUCUACCAAACGUAUUUGUUAGGCGCCGCGGCAACAUGGGACAAGAUUAAGUUAGUCUAGUCAGAGGUGCGUGCACUGGGAAGAAGUCGAUAGUUGUGAGGGUGACUGUAACCAGUGGUGAUUCUCGGGUACCUUUGAUGGGUUGGGAGAUUAAUAUGGGAUCGCGGCUAUUUCAGUCGGGGUGAGAGGAGCUGGCAAUGGGUCCCAGAGAGCCUUGGGUUAGCAAAAUUAUUAAAGGUGCUUUGUUGUCGGUGGAUCCGUCGGAGUUAUAUUGGAAGCCGAAUUCCUCCUUGCUCUGACCUUCAGGUAUUUGUACACCUUCUUUUAUUCUCCCGUACCACCUAGGAGCAUUUGAGUGCCACGCUCGCUACAUGAAGCACAAGUGUGGCUGAUUCUACCAUUGAAAACAUAGACGUCAAGGAGACUUAUAGUGGGAUAGGAUGUUCUGAUCUGGCAAGCCCAUCGGCAUAUUGAAAUAGAAGGUUGGAAUUAGCGGGUCCUCGAGUUUAACUUAUGUGAAUACCUUAAUUUCUCGCUUCCAACAGAUGCCCUCUAACCCGAGUUGCUCUACCACCCAAAGCAUUGGGAAGAUCUUCCGAACAAUGUUGUAGAUGCAAUCCCCAAACAGGAACUGAUUUGACAUAUCCAGUAUGUGGAACCAUACCGGUACUUACCUAAAGCACACCCGAUCAUGCCUAGUGUUUCCAUCCUAAUGUUUCACCCAUAGUAGAGCCCCACCAAUUGUGUAUGGUUGAUGGGUCCAUGCGUAUUUCUUUUGCCUUUCAUAGCAUAAAGAGAGGACAUAAAUGUCCUUGCGAUUUUCAUACUCAUCGGUGUGGUGGAGCCCUCCGUGUUCCUAGACUGACGAACGAGUAACAACAAUAACUGCACCUUUGUAAGGUAGAUUGAUCCCGACUAGCUUACCAAUCAGUAGGUAGGAUGUCACUGGUCUAGCAUUACCCUUAGUGAAGGAGAGUCGUAGUCUGGAGAUUUUGGGCGAGUUAUUGUCGAAUUGGAGAGAGAUUAGGUGUUGCAUUGUGGAUUUGAGGUUCAAUUGGGAUUUGGUUAGACUUAUAGGCGAAAGAGAGAGAUUAAGGUGUGUUGUAGGGUGGGGAGACUUUGGGAGGAAGGAUAGAUUGGAGUUUGGGAUUAAAUAGUUGCUGCCUAAGAUAAUGGGCAUGGCAUGGACUAUGAGACGAUUGCAGGGGUGGGUUUCCUUGUUGGUGUAGCAUGUUAUGAUUGCAUUAAAGACUAUCUAUUACAUAUCCCCUCUCUGAAUCAGUGGAGAACUGAGGGUAGAUGACGAGUGGAUGUGCCGAGAGGGCAGGUGGACAAUCCCGCAAGCUUCGUCUCUUUCCAAGGUCAUAGACUCCUCUAGCUUUUUAUUUUCGUUUUUAUCGUAUGCCAAGUUAUUUGAAUGCGAGCAUCACAACAUGUCGAACAAGUUUUAAAAGGGGUUAGGGCCUAGGCUAGUAGUGUUUUAACAACUACUAAUCUAUCCUAAUUCAAACAUUAACGUUCCAAUCAAGCACAUUUAAGAUAGUGCUAAUGAUAUAUCAUGUAAUCAUACUUGGAAAGUAGGUUCUUUUCAAACCGAACCCAAUUUGACCAGUCAACAUGCCAACUAAUGCUCAGGGGUAAAACUAUCUUUUCAACUAAGUGACACCCAAAUCAAAUCGGUUGGAUCGAAAUCAGACUUGGAAUUCACUUAAUUGGAUAAAAAGACGUGUCAUCCAUUUAUAUCCAGGAGACAAAGGAAAAAGUCCAUUUAACAUCUAGAGACAAUACGAACAUCUGUUUGAAAAAAAACGUUUAGACUUAGGAAAAACUAAUUUGAAGCUCCGUUCAAUGCCCAAAAAUAGCUGAAUUCGUUUAACGUCCGAAUACAUGACAAACAUCCGUUUGAAAAUAAUUUUUAGGGCUAGACUUAGGUGACAAUAAUUUGAUACUCGUUUAAAGCCUGGAAGACAGCUGAAUUCAGUUAACGCCCGAAUACACGACGAACUUCCGUUUGAAAAUACUUUUUGGACUUAGACUUGUGCGAAAAUAAUUGGAUGCUCUAUUAAAGCGUAUAAGAUAGUCGAAUUUGUUUAACAUCCACAUACACAAUGAACAUCUGUUUGAAUAUAAUUUUUGUGCCUAGACUUAGGCAAAAAUUAUUUUGUGUUGCGUUAAAAGCCCAAAUCAGAACAGAAUUCGUUAAACCUUCGAAUACAUGAUGAACCUAUGUUGAGAUAAUUUUGAUACAAUUUUGAAGACCUUAAACAAACACAACUGAAUUCUUUUAAUGUCUGAAUACACGACAUAAGUCUUUUGAGAUAAUUUUAGUGCCUAGACUUAAGCUGACAAAAUUUUGAAGCUCUACUUAAAGCCUGGAACACAAUUGAACUUGUUUAAGGUCCGAAUACACGAUAAAAGUCUUUUGUUAUAAUUUUGGGUGCCUAGACAUAGCCAAAAAUAGUUUUAAAGGUUUGUUUAAAGCCCAACAAUAAUUUAUAUUGUUUAACGUCCAAAUACACGACAAAAUUCUUUUAUGAUGAUUUUGGGUGCUUAGACUUAGGCGAAAAUAAUUUUAAAGGUUCGUUAAUGCCCGAAACACAGCUGAAUUUGCUGAACAUCUGAAUACACGAAGAAAUUAUUUGGAGAUAAAUUUGCAUGGUCCAUUUAUAGACUGGAAAAACGCAUAAAUUCUUUGGAUUGAUUUUUGGUAAUCCAUUUAUAGCCUGGGGAAACAGACAAAAUCCUUGAAAUGAUUCUUGGCAAUCCAUGCCCGAAAAAGUGGCAGAAAGUCUUUGGAAUGAUUUUCGGUGAUCAAUUUAUAGCCCGAAAAAACUGCUGAAUUUUUUUGAAAUGAUUGCUGGUAAUUUGUUUAUAGCCCAAAAAAGGGCAGAAAUUCUUUGAAAUGAGUUUGGUAAUCUGUUUAUAGCCAAGAAAAAAUGGCCGAAAUUCUUUUCAAUUAUUUUUGAUAAUCUGUUUAUUCCCUCGAAAAACGACCGAAACCCAUUUAAUGAUAGGAGACAAGAAGAAAAUUAUUUUUCAAACAAUUGUAUCCUAGAGUUAGGCGUAAAAUUUUUACAAUUAGUUCUAACCAUGUCACGAUAUGAAUCAAAAGAAAUAUAUGCAUGAUAUGGGGUUAAAAUUUUUUCUAUAAUUUUUCUAAAGUAGGGGUUAGGAAACUUCCGUGCUAGGGUUAAACUUUGUCAGUCUGUCUAAAAAUAUAUCAAAUCAUAGGGCGAGACCUGCAUUCCUAUAGAAAUAAUAAACUUCAAUUUACACAGAGCUCGGACGAAAAACCUAUAACCAUACUUUCUUUUCAAACACUUUCAUUGAAAAUUCCUAACUCUUCAAAACUAGUUACAAGGAUUGACUCACCAUAUCAUUGACACCACUUAGACCCUCAAAUACUAUGCCCUAUGGAACUCUAGUACCGUUACAGGUGCAGAGUCACCUUCUGAGAUUCGCAAUGCCUCCAUGGAGCUGGUAUCACACAUAUGUUAGUAGAAGACAACCAGGCUCAGAUACCAAAUGUAAAACUGACCCUAGAAAACCACGUCGAACCACUGAUCCGACCCAUGCAUGCUAACUCAGGUUCCACUGGACUCGACUUAAACCAACAUUGACUAAUAUUCUCAUAAACCAAGCAUUGAAGACUAAGUUGAAACCUUUAUUAAACCUUUAAAUAGACAAGGCAUGUAUCUCGAAUCCCAAAAUGCAACUCAACAAAAAACAUGAGAUACAACUCCAUCAACGUGAUCUAGUCUAGCUAGGCCUAUCUAAUCCUAUUCUGAAAAGUGAAUCGCACGCCACUGUUCAGUCCUUAGAGUUUCGUGAUGAACGUCAUUGCAUCUUUUGUAUAGUAGUUCACACGCUAAUUUAUAGCCUCAUGAGCCAUCGGUCCAUACAUCAGCCAUCUCAACGGAAAUCCAUUCAUAGGAUUCUUCAAGAUCUAACUAGAGUUCUACAUUUGACUAUGUAAUAAAAAAAUAUAAACCCCACCUCUAAGAAGAGCUAACACUCUUAUUCUAACUUGAUAUGAUUCCCUUUGCUGCCAUGAAUGUGUAGCUUCUGACCAUGCGUCGUUUGGAGCUCAAAUGAUCGAGUUAUACUCCAGUCCUCCAAUCCUCUCUGAUACACUGACUAAUCCGGAACUGCAAGACACUGACAGCACUGACCCAAGUCCUUAACUGUAAACCAUCAAAAAGUUCAGAACCACAAAAGCUAGACUUAAGAUGAACUAAUUACAAAAUAGCCACUUAUCUUUCAAGGCUUUGCAGAUUGGGUCACCAAACUCCUCCAAGAUUGCGAGGAGGUCACUCUUCUUCUCCGUCUAGGCUUUUCCCUGCCGACAACCUUUGCCCAGAAUCCGACGAGGCUCUAGAAACCUCCAUGAGUGGCUAAAAUCUUUGUGUUUUUUGGAUUAGAUAAAAGCUUUAGCUUACCUUCUGUAUGGAUAUUGGGGUUUUAACCAUUUGAUUUUGUUAUCUAGAUUAUUCGGACUUAUGAUGUGUUCUUGCGAAAACCUAAAUUCAUAUUCUUUCUCGUCUAGGCGUGUUGAUUGAAUCAUUGUCAUUGAUUUGUGGUUCCGAGAGGAACGUAGGUCAAAAGGAUGCUUAGGAACAUUAUUCCCCAUUAGCUCGAGAGAGGACCGGUUCGUCUAGGAUUCUUGCAUUAUUUAUCAUUGUGGCAUUUGAUCGAAUACCUUUAGUGCGUGCGGAUAGAUCCUUAGAGUUGUGAGAGCGAUCUAAGACUAUUGUAGGAAAUUUCCAAGCCAUUAUAACCUGAUUAAUUGAGAUUGCAUAUCGUUCGUCCAUAAAUUGCUAGCUUUUGUGGAUUGGAGUCUAAACAAUCUUAUUUCCCAUAUUUGGAACUUGAUUAAUCACACUCGCUUUCUUUUAAUUUGACUUCUUAGUUCAUAAUUAGAUACUUCAACAUAAAGACAACCAAUCCUUGAUUGUUACUUGGUCUAGUUAGUAUAUUUGAAUUGAGUAAUAGCAUUAGAAAGAUCCUAGGGAAAAUACGAUUCCAUCAGUUUAUUCUAGUAGAUAUUAAAAGGCAGUAUAAGAUCUUCUCAUCAGUUAAGUUCUCACCAACAAUUCUGAAAUAACUUGUAGCUCAUCUAGUCCUCGUUCUUAGUAACAAAUUAUCCUUACAUGUCAUCCUCCUCAAAGGACUUAACAGAUCGACACCUCGGGGAUGACCUAAAUUAAACCACACCUCAGAUAGCUCGUUCUUGCCUCUUCGCUUCUCCUCUCCAAACCCUAGGGAGACCAUCUAGUAUCAAGAGGAAACUUGGAGCACUUGGUGGUCCAUUGGAAGGAGGAACUCAAGGAGAUUGAAUAUUAAAAACCAUCUUCCAUGAAGAUGUGAUUCGCUUAUUCUUCCUCUUAUGCUUUUAUUACCCUGGUAGCCUAAGUCCCUUUGAGAUGUAGUUUCUAUGAUUUUCUCCAAAAAGCAUUUGGUUGGAUACAUGUGGAUGAUUAAUGAUAUCUAUUUAUGGCUUUGUUGUGCUUAGACCAUGGUGCUUGCAAUCUUGUAUCAGUUAUCGCUUUUAUGAGAUCAAAUUGUCAUGUUCCUAUUCAUUAAUAGUAGGAGGAGUGUGUUUGUGUUUAGUAUAGGAUAGAUGAGGGUGUUGGUUCUCAUUAACAAGCCCCAAUUCUACCUUUAGAGGCAGGAUUUCUUUGUGGGCAUUUCAUCAAACAUUUGGUGGGCGACCCGAAACAAAGAUGACCUAUUGACACGGUUGGAGUUUGGAUGCUAGGGAUGUCUAUAAGUGACUUAAGAAUCCGCACUUUGGGUUCGUAAUACUCCUAAACUUAUCUGAACUCCUAGGCAUUUUGUGGACGGACUGGACUGCUUCAAAUGUGGUGAGGCCACCAAUUGAGAACCAGAAUUUCAUGCUAAAGUUCCAAUAUAUCCAGAUGGUUCAACAUAGCCUGUAUAGCGAUAGCGGUCUCGACUUUGAGUGCCCAAGUUGACAUCUCAAGGGUUUCCUCCAACAACAAUCGAAGAUUCUUUAAGAGCAUCGGGCGUACCUAGAUACGUUCAACACCACUACACGAGCUAACAUGAUGGAACUCCAAAGCUAACUAGGGAAUCUCACUAAGGUUCUCUCGAACUAGUAAGACGGUACUUUUUGAGUAAUACUAAGGUGAACCCUAAGUCUAAAAAGCAUAUGUUAGAUGUGGAUAUGGAGAUCAUAAGACCUUCUAGAUCAAAGAGUGAAUGCAUUGCAGAGAACAUCUCGGUCAAAAUAGAAGCUUCGACUACAUGGCUGACUUUGUCGUGGUGGAUACCAACAUUACUUGGAAAAUGACGGUUAUCUUGGGAUGAUCUUUCCUCACAGAUGCAAUAACGUUGAUCGAUACCUCCCGAAGGGAAGAUGAUCUUGCAUUCUCGGUAAAGAAUUCAAACUGUUUGCUCGUUCCCAUUGUAACAAUUUCUAGCUCACUAUUGAUCGUGCCCAUCAACUUAAACCCAUUUGCAACUAUGCUUCAGCUAUCUCUUAGACUAACAAUGCUCAAAACAUGUCUUCCCAGUUAUUUAUGACAAGCCGUAUGCAGACACUCGAGGACAAUGGACAUACAAGGAGAGAGAGACCACCCACCGAGGCGCAUAAGAAAAUGUUGAAGUCGACCCAAAAGUCUAGUCUUGCCAUGCUCGUUAAGAAGCAUAAGCACGAGAUUUCUUGGAAAGUUACCUAUAUCAACGGGAUCAGCCCCACUUACUGCAAGCAUCAAAACUAUCUCGAAGAUGGAAAAAACUAGUUUGCCAACCUCAGAGACGUCUUAACUCGCUUUUGAUGGAGGUAGUUCAAAAAUAUAAUUUCUAACUUCUAGAUGCAGGAAGUAUUUUCCCAUCUCCGACAGCAAAUGGGUUUGUCCAGUGCAUUGUGUACCAAAGAAGAAUGGAAUAACUAUAGUUCCUAAUGGUGCGGGGGAAGUCAUUGCUUCUAGAAUAGUUAGUGGUUGGAUAGCAUGCAUUGACUAUUAUAGACAGUUAAAUGAGGCUACUAGGAAGGACAACUUCCCUCUUUCUUUCAUUGAUCAGAUGCUUGAGCGCUUUUCAGGUCAUGAGUAUUAUUGCUUUCUGGAUGGACACUUCCAGAUUCGUAUUGCACCAAAGGAUGAAGAGAAAACAAGGUUUACAUGUCCUUUUGAUACAUUUUCCUAUAGAAGGAUCCCUUUUGGUCUUGACAAUGCGCCAGUAACAUUUCGCUGAUGCAUGAUGGCUAUCUUUAAAGAUCUAGUCACCAAAAUCAUGGAGGCAUUCCUGGAUGAUUUUUCUGUGUAUGGAGAUUCUUUUGAUAAUGGCUUGAAGUACUUGGAGAGAGUACUUGUGACAUGUGAAGAGACAAAUCUAGCUCUUAGCUGGGAGAAGAGCUACUUCAUGGUGAGAGAGGAAAUUGUGCUUGGGCACAAAAUUGUGCUUGGACACAAGAUUUCAAAGAAAAGGGUUUCAGUUGAUCCCGCCAAGAUUAAUACAAUAGCUCAACUUCCUCGUCCUACAUCAGUGAAGUCAGUUAGAAGUUUUCUGGGACAUGCAUGGUUCUAUAGGAGGUUCAUCAAGGAUUUCUCCAAGACUGCACUACCAAUGACUUGCCUGCUUGAGAAGGAUGUUCCCUUCCAUUUUGAUGAUGCAUGUCACCAAGCAUUUGAGGCUCUCAACUUUAAACUCACCACCGCUACUAUCCUUAUAAUACCACAAUGGACGAUGCGAGUGAUUUUAUAGUCGGGGCAGUACAAGGACAGAGAAUUGAGAAGCACUUUGACCCAUCUAUUAUGUCCGUAGAACUCUAAAUAAGACUUAUAGGAAUUACACCACUACAUGAAAAGGAGUUAUUAGCUAUGGUUUAUGCUUUUGACAAAUUUAGAUCAUAUCUCUUGUUAUCACAUGUGGUUGUUUUCACUAAUCAUGCAGCCAUUAGGUACCUCAUGAGGAAACCAGAUACCCAAACCGAGACUGCUCUAUUGGGUGCUUCUGUUUGAAGAUUUUGACAUUGAAAUCAAGGAUAAAAAGGCUUAGAGAAUUUUGGUGCUGAUCAUCUCUCUAGCCUAGAGGGGCCUGCAACUAGACUGGAGACGUGUUUUGAAAUUCGGGAAAUGUUUCCUGAAGAACAACUAAAUGCCAUUAUGAUCACCAAAGCCGAAGGACCUUUCUCGACACGAGCGAAGGAAAUUUCUUCAUGCCAUCAAGAAGUAUUAUUGGGAAGUCCACAUCUUUUUCGAAUCGGCUCUCACAACAUCAUUUGCCGGUGUGUCACCCUCAGUAAAGCACAUGACAUCAUGACUCAUUAUCAUUCGGGACCGACUGGUGGAUAUCAUGGCACAAAUUAAACAGCCCGGAAAAUUCUCAUUGCCGGCUUCUUUUGGCCUACCAUAUUUUUAGACUGUAAGGAUUUCAUCAACACGUGCGAUCAAUGCCUCAAACUGUGAAUAUGCCUCUAGAUAUUUAAUAUAUAUGACAGGUUGAUUUUAUGGGACCUUUCCUUACAUCUUAUAAGAACAUAAGCUCUCUCCACUAACGAUGCUAGGGUAGGUGGAAAGUUCUUAUAGAAGCUGCUUUAUAGAUUCGGUACACCUAGAACGAUUAUAAGUGACCAAGGAACUUAUUUUAAUGGUCAAUUUGAUAGGGUGUGUGUAAAGCAUGGUGUUACCCAUCAUGUAGACAUGGCUUACCACCAUCAAACGAGUGGCCAAGUUGACGUGACAAAUAUGGAGUUAACACAUAUCUUAGAAAAGGUGAUCUCACACAAUUAAUUGUCCACUAGAUUAGAUGACGCCAUAUGGGCAUAUAUAACUACUUUUAAAACUCAUAUUGGCACUUCCCCUUACAUUCUUGUGUAUGAGAUAGCUUACCAUUUGCGUAUAGAACUCAAACACUGUGCUUGAUGGGCCUUGAGAACACUUAACUUUGAUCAUAGUGUUGCUGAAGAGGAAAGAAAAAUCUAGGUACUCAAAUUGGAGGAGUGAUGAGAAUCGAGCUUAUCAAAGCUCCAACUUGCACAAGGAACGUACCAAACGGAUCCAUGAUUCAAAGCUAAAAGGUGUCAAGGAAUUCAAGGUUGGGGAGCAAAUGCUCCUUUAUAAUUCUCGCCUUCAUAUCUUUCCAGGGAAACUGAUAUCCUAUUGGUCUGGAACAUCCAUUGUCACACAUGUUUUUCCUCAUGGAGUUAUGGAAAAUCACUCGCCCCGAAGAGGAUCCUUUCAAGGUAAAUGGGCAUUGUCUGAAGCUGUAUGUUACUGGUGAAUUCCUCGGAGUGGUCAAAUAAAUGAAACUAGCCCCACAACGGAUCAGGGGUAAACCUAAACUAGCCGAGCCGAAGACUUCAGGCAUCUAUUUCAUGACGUAAAACGAGCGCUUCUCAGGAGGCAACCCAAGUUUGAGUGUUUAUUUUAUGUAAUUUUUCAAAUUUUGAGUCUAGUGGUGUGUCUAGUGUUGAGUCGAUUGAGUUUGGAUAUUCAAAUUGUGUCCCAAACGUUUGGCGUGAUAUGGUCUUGUUAAGUGUGUGCAGGAUGAAGAAUCCGCCAACAGAAGAAAACAAUGUUGUGUAUUGAUAACUCACGAUGUGUGUUGUAUCAUAUGUAAGCAAGCCUCCUAACACAGGGUCCUCUUUUGUCAACAUAGGCCUUGUAUUGGUACCUUGUAUUGGCAACGCCUUAUGUUACUAAUACAUGACCGUUUGUUGUAUCAUCCGUAACUGGUGCUUCCUAACACACGGUCGUGUGUUGUUACCUCACGCUGUGUGUUACAUCCAGGUCAGUAACUAUUUCUUUUUUCUUAUUUUCUUCGAAUUUUCCCAUCUUCUCCCCCUCUCCUUCACGCGAGCACAACCUAUCCUCCCACCACCACCACCACCAUCAACGUUUCCUCCUUCUCCUUUUCAUAUCCGCAACCUGCCAUCAAUCAUCAACACACAUCUUAUCUUUCUCAAACCACCACCAUCAUCUACCCCAAAACCUUUCCAAUCAUCAUCUCCUUUAUUUCAGAAGAAAAAUCUUCCACCAUUGAAGGCCAAACUCAAGCCCCAUCCUCAAUCUCUCUAUGUCGUUAGUUUCUUGUCGAUUACAAGCAUCCCUCCUAGGCCAUUUAACAAGCGACAAAGGGAUAGCAAUGCUUCUUUUACUGGCACGGCUACACUAGCCUUGUUCUCUUUUCUAGACUUCAAGUGGAUGCAAGAGGAGAUAUUACAUUUUGAAAGUAUAAUAGGGAUAAUGUUAUGUCUCCACAUGGUACCUUUAUUAGUGAUAUAUGAUAACCAUAUAGUGGAAGGAUUGAUUUGAAGCAUAUCUUGGUGGAGGCAGAGUGCUUCCUCUAUUCCAAGUUCAAAGGGAAGCUAAUGUGUUGGCUAUAAAGGAAGUGAUCAAUUCUAUCACUUUCAAGACAAGNNNNNNNNNNNNNNNNNNNNNNNNNNNNNNNNNNNNNNNNNNNNNNNNNNNNNNNNNNNNNNNNNNNNNNNNNNNNNNNNNNNNNNNNNNNNNNNNNNNNNNNNNNNNNNNNNNNNNNNNNNNNNNNNNNNNNNNNNNNNNNNNNNNNNNNNNNNNNNNNNNNNNNNNNNNNNNNNNNNNNNNNNNNNNNNNNNNNNNNNNNNNNNNNNNNNNNNNNNNNNNNNNNNNNNNNNNNNNNNNNNNNNNNNNNNNNNNNNNNNNNNNNNNNNNNNNNNNNNNNNNNNNNNNNNNNNNNNNNNNNNNNNNNNNNNNNNNNNNNNNNNNNNNNNNNNNNNNNNNNNNNNNNNNNNNNNNNNNNNNNNNNNNNNNNNNNNNNNNNNNNNNNNNNNNNNNNNNNNNNNNNNNNNNNNNNNNNNNNNNNNNNNNNNNNNNNNNNNNNNNNNNNNNNNNNNNNNNNNNNNNNNNNNNNNNNNNNNNNNNNNNNNNNNNNNNNNNNNNNNNNNNNNNNNNNNNNNNNNNNNNNNNNNNNNNNNNNNNNNNNNNNNNNNNNNNNNNNNNNNNNNNNNNNNNNNNNNNNNNNNNNNNNNNNNNNNNNNNNNNNNNNNNNNNNNNNNNNNNNNNNNNNNNNNNNNNNNNNNNNNNNNNNNNNNNNNNNNNNNNNNNNNNNNNNNNNNNNNNNNNNNNNNNNNNNNNNNNNNNNNNNNNNNNNNNNNNNNNNNNNNNNNNNNNNNNNNNNNNNNNNNNNNNNNNNNNNNNNNNNNNNNNNNNNNNNNNNNNNNNNNNNNNNNNNNNNNNNNNNNNNNNNNNNUCGGAUAGAAAACAGAAAAUAAAUGACCGUUAUGUUCUAGGAAGCUGUAAAUAGAACACUAUUAAGAGGGAGAAGUUCGGAGAUGGUUUCGAGCUGAGAUCGAUCCACUUCAAUACUUCCUUUGGACACCUUAUGGCCUAGGACAAUUCCCUUCUCCACCAUGAAAUAGCACUUCUCCCAACUCCAAACUGAAUGAGUUUCUUCACACCUCGCCAAGAUUUUUUCCCAGUUUUCUAAACAUUUGGAGAAGUAAUCUCCAUAGAAUCAGCAAUCAUCCAUGAGGCUUGAACAACAUCUUCUUGUAGGUUCCAAAAGAUCAUUGUCGUACACCAUUGAAAGGUUGAUGAUGCAUUACAAAGACCAAAUGGAACUCGCAGGUAUGGGAAUUGACCGAAGGGGCAUAUCAAGGUAGUCAUCUCUUGAUCUUCUGGUUCCAUCGGAAUCUGAAAGUAGCCUAACAUCCCAUCUAGAAAAUAGUAGAACUUGUCCCUUCUAUAUAUUCCAACAUUGAUUAAUGAAUGGUAGUGGAAGGUGAUCCUUCUUAGUAGUGUCGUUCAAACGCCUGUAAUUGAUGCAGACCCUCCACCUAAUGACUGUGCAAUUUGGAAUCAGUUCUCCUUUAUCAUUGGGCACAACCAUGGAGCGGCCUCUUUUCGGCAUAACCUGCAUAGGAUUGUGCAUAUAAUUUUGGUAUGAAAGCCUCAUUCUUCCUUUAAAAACUUCGUAUCCUUUCAAUUUCCGACUUUAGUUUUGAUAGUUAAAAACAUCAACCAAACACCCUAAAACCUAGUUUGAUAUCUUCGUUUGAUUCGGUAUUUGUGAUUUUUGGAUUUUUGCCUAUCGAGGGCUGGGAAUCCUUGUGAUUGGUAUCUAACAUGUUGAAAACAAAAGAAGGUGGAAAAAUUCCAACGAAAUCUUCAAAGAAAAGCAAAGAAAAAAUCGGCGAAAUAAAGAGGUUAUCAAAAGCACUCGCUCGAACCACCUCCACCUCAGACAUUUUCAACGUUUGGGUUAGUAUAGUUGAUUUCAAGACUAGGGCAGAGAUUUUUUGGUUCUUUACUAGCUUAAAAUGGAGGUUUCAAACUUUGAAAGUUCAAAAAAGAAUUUUACCUAGUCAUAGAUCAGAUUAAUUUUUGUGGUUGCUUUGAAUGCAAUAUUCUUUUGAAUCCUACACCUGGCAAAAUCAUUGCUAGUCCUAAGACCUUAGCUCACCGAAUGGCUUCACCAUAUAUGUUUCUCUGUUUCAAUUGAGUGAAAUACUAGUUGCAAAACAACGAGUGUUGAGAUUCAAACGUUUAUAUAUUGAGAGAUUUUGAGAGGUCUAUUAUUUGUGCACUAACCAUGUUUUGCGAGGAUCAAAAUAAAUUGGCGGAAAAUUGGCGGAGAUACAACAAAGGCUGAAGGCCACUCAAGCAGAGCCACAUAACAAGGCUAAACUACCUAAAGUGGCACCAAUACCAACACUCACACUUGUUGGGCAUGGACCUCUCUAUGGCGCAUCUUUUGAGGAUCUACAUCAAUGGGAGAUUCUUACUUCAUUCCAAUUAACAAAACAUCCUUUUUAAUUUUUAUACGAAAAAAUUACGUCUUACGAAGUUGCAAACAAUAACAGAGUAAUCUUUACCGCAAAAAAUAGAGCAAUCACUUCUCCAUUCUGUUGUUUCUUUUCUUUUUCCAUCCUCCCUUUCUUUCAUACUAAACCCAAAUCCCACCCCAUUAAUACUCAUUUAUCAUCUUUCAUUCAAAACUCAUUUAUCAUCUUCCAUUCAAAUAAUUAACCCAUGAAUCCCUCAUUUAUUAUCUUCCAUUCAAAUAAUUAACCCAUGAAUCCCUUUAUCAAAUAAGAGACGUAUAUAGAAAAUAGAAUUGCAAACAUAAGAAGUACAAACAUUUUAAUGUACAUAUAUACAUAAGUGUUCUCUAUCACAAGGUUUAGAGCCUCAUCAAAAAUUGCUUAUUCAAAAAUAUGCAUUGUAUAUAUUAAACUGGAAUGCAUUGCAGAUAAAAAAAGCGAGGUAGGGAUGCAGUGACGAAGCAUAUUGCAUUGCCCUAUCCAAAAAAUAACUUUUUACUCGUGUAACCUGUUAAAAAUUAUUACAACAUGUUACACGUGUAACAUUUUAUAGACGGUGAUUUUUUUUGUAAAUAACACGGGACUGUUACUNNNNNNNNNNNNNNNNNNNNNNNNNNNNNNNUUUGGAAAAGUCACUGGGAACUUGUCGAAUAGUCAACGUAAAAGCAUAUAUCUGAUUGUUUAGAUUCAUCUUUGAAGUUCUUAAAACUAAUUGAACUUAAAUUAUACCAUCAGUCAUUAAGUUUUCUAGAAUAAGUACUUUAACUUGAAACAUGUUUUGAGUCAAAGAUCUGGGUAAUAUAUGGUAGAACAUUUCCUGCCAACCCCAACAAUCAUUUUGCCACCCAUUCUUUUUUUGGAGAAAGGUUGGACUCAAGGUCAUAGUUAUUAAUACUAAUGGCUCUUGGGAAGGAAACCCUAAUCAUAUAAACACCAAUACAUUCAAUAAUAUUUUGAUAGAAAGAACUAAUAAUAUGCAUUCCAAAGGGAGGGAAAGAACAAAUAAUAUGAGCGAAAAGGUCCAUCACACGGUUUCCUUCUCGAUAGAUAUGCGUUACAAUCACCAUCUAAUCAUCAUGGAGAAGUUGAUGCACCUACGUUAUACUCUCAAAGUGCCUUAAAUCCGCAGCAUUGGGGUUACAAGCAUAUGCGUCGAUAAUGGCGGAAUAGUUUUCCGGAUGACAUCACGCGUAGUAUUGCCACUAGUUUUCGGUUCCAAGAUAACAAAGACUGUGAUGAUGCAUCUGCACAUAAUAAAACAUAGCACUAACAAAAUUUUGGUGGUCGGCACCCCGAUAAUUUUAUGACAGAACACUAAUCAUUAACAUAUGAUAGAACGGGAACAGAAAAAUACCCAAAACAUUAUGGUGUGAUGGAGGCUGUUACACCCUAAAUGAACAGAAUGCCAUGGGGCAGACGAAAGACACAAAUUAAAUAUAAAAGUCAAAGUCAACAAAAUAAAUGAUUCAACAUCGAGAAGUAAUUUCGAAACAAAUAGCACUAAACACGUGGGAAAAACUUAAAUAGAAAAAUCAAGUCCAACGUAAAUCAUAAAUAAAAUCUCAAGUCUACUAACUCCAAAGGAAACAUCUUAGGUGUCCAAAAUCCAUCUUGAUUACUCACUCUAAGUCUUGGGACAUGAUUGGCAGCAACUAUAGCUCUACUAUCUCUCAUAUGACCUAGUGGGUGGCUCGGGGUCAGUCUCUCGUGCUCAAUUAUUAUCUUGUAAAGUACAUUAUAAAAUAAUAAUGGUAUCGUGUUAUCGUGUAAUAGUAGGAAUUUUCAUGGAAGUCAAACUAUGUGACUUAUAUUGUUUUACUAGCUUUUACAUUUAUUCAAGGUUUUUUAAUUCAUGUAGGGCGCCCCCUCUUCUCACUAACUAUCCCUACCACCCAUUCAUGGCAAAUCAUGGAUGUUUGUGAGCAUGUAUCCUCAAACACCAUAUCAUGUAAAUCGUGGAUGUCUGGGAGAACGUAUUCAUCAGACAACAUAUCAUGUGGGUAAUACUGGCCCAAUUUGUUUGGGAGUGGGGGUUCUAGCUAGUGGGGUUCUUUUCGUAUUAUUCCACCUAGUAAUGGUCUAUUGGAGAUUCAUGAAUGAAGUACUCAUAAGUAAAAUAAAUACUGUCACGUAAUUCAUAACUUAAUUUAAAAAAAAACAGCAACGGUAGAAUUUACCCCCUUAAACCACACACCUGAUAAAGAAAUGGUGAGAGUCCAAUCCGAGGAAUGAAGAUUGAAGCUGGAAGGAUUGAAGUUACAAUUCUGGAUUUGGGGAAGGAGAUAAGCUGAUGUUAUCUUCACGUCAUCAGAAGCAAGAUCGGGAGUAAAAUUAACAUUGGGAGUCAUUGUUGAGAUUUGAACAACUGACCUCCAGGUCAUGGGUCCGAAUACUUAAACACUAGACCACAAUCAAUUUCAUGAUCCAUGUCCUAUUGGUUCAUUUAAGUUCUAACUUGGCAACCGAAUCAUCACAUUAAAUUGAUUAAAGGUUCGAUGGUUAAUCGAUCUUAAUAGUUUCUAACAUGCUAUAAUUAACAUGCAAUCCACAUGUUAAUUCAUCGUGGAACAAUAAUAAUAAUAAUCAUACUUGUCUUAAUGCUACUAAUAUCAUCAUCAGUAAUAAUGGUACAAGUAAUUAUGAAGCAAUAUUCCAAGACCUUCUUUACGGGUAGUUUCGGGACUUUCAAGCUCAAAAUUUUUCCCACCAGGUUUGGGAUGUAACAAAGGCUGUAGUCACCGUACCCUGCGUUUAAUUUUUACCAUCGCUUUCAGUUUUUACUCUAGCACUCCAAACUCAAAGCCUUACAAUUUAAGAUUACAUGACAAAUUAUGAAGCAUGUGCUUCUUCUCCAAUUUUGUGUUGGGGUGUGUUACUGGGUCUCUCCACCUUCAAAUCUUCAUUCGCAGGGGCCCAAAUGCUGGCAGUUGUUGAAUCGGUGGCAUUCCACGUGUUUGUAGAGAAGCUAUCGUCCUUGGAGAAGUAGGUUUAAAAUUUGUAAAAGCUCGCCCCAUCACAUAAGCGAUUUGGAAACCUCAUGCGUGCCAAUGGCCACAAUCUCCAACUUGUCAAGAGAAGAAUUUUCCGCUUAUCAGACCAUGGGUUUGCCAACAACAACAUACCAAUCUCCAUUGAAGAGUUCGAACUUGAAAUUGACUUUAGAGUAGGCACCAACUAUUGUUGCAUCUUGGUUUAAGUAGUUUGAGAUACGGGAGUUAUAGGAAGCACUACUACAGAACGAGAGGGAGAUAGUGUAGGGAUAAUAUCUGGAGCAACCAUUACAGAAGUUCUUGACUGUUGGACCUGCUGAUGAUUAUUAGGAAUAAGUUUUGACUAUUCGUGAUUCUCAUCAGUUAAAGCCCCAGGGGCAAUCAUGUUAGUGAGAAGGCCCGACCCAAAUUUAAAAUUGGUUGGGCUCAAAUGGGACUCGGCCUUGGAAUGGAUCCUAGAGGCACUCCUGGUUAAAAUAAUGGGAGGCGCCCUUUUGGAUGUUGAUGCAUCAUUAACAAAACUCUCCCCUGAUUUCGCCUAUGAGAUACCAGGGGUAGAUUUAAUCAAUUUCCGUUUCCCAAAACCAGCUAAUUCCUUUCCAUUUUUCCUUGAUUGACCGUUAGAGAAGUAGAGAUUAGUAGAGCAACACCCUCCUUCCUUUUAGGUUUCCAUAUCUUUUAGAGGUAAGUCAACCAAAGGCCGAACACUAGUAAUUUUUUUGUAGUCACGAGCUUCAACAGGUCAGCGGGCAGAGGUUGCUGGCAAGCCCUGAUGCUGGCUGAGUGCCAGAUCUUACGUAAGUACUUGAUUCUUAGGACAUGCAGUAGCCUCAUGAACUAUACAUCCACAAACAAAGCACUGUGAGGGAAAAUUUUGGUAAACCACUUGUUGCUGCAUCAUCCAUAAAACACCCGUUUCAAUUGCCUUUCGAAGAUUGACUUCACCGCCAAACGUGUAAGUUUACUUCGAGCGGUAGUAAGAGUUUGUCGAUCAAUGCAAAUUGUACAUCCAAUAAGGUUGCCAAUCCCUACUUGAUUUCUUUGUGAUAGUAUUGGAUUGGUAACUUGAGAAGGCAAACGCAAACAACUAUUUUAGGUGGAAGAACCGGAGUAACAAGAAAGGAAGGAUCUCAUCCAUGACAAACCAGGUAGUAAUUCAAUAUCAUCCAUGAUCCUCCAGUGAGAGAGAAGUCAUAAUCAUGUGGAUUAUCGAAAUAAACCAAUAACACAUCAUUAUCAAGGUCAAUCAUUCUCAUAUUGCCUUGUGGUCUCCAUAGACUUUUAAGACGAUCAUACAUGUACUGGAUAUCGAUAGUUUUCCCCAUAAGCUUAACAAUUAGCGCUUUCGGGAGAGGGAGGCUGAUUCUCACAUGUAACUCACCAGAGGUAUAAAGAUAAUGGCAGCAUAUGAUGUAGGAGCCAUGGCUGGAGGAGUGAUCGGCGUUCCGAGAAUCAUCAAAGUUCUAUUCAUACUGAAGAUCAAUGAUUACUCAAACGUUGAAGAUCAAUGAUCUCAUAAAGCUAUAUAGGAUCUUAUAUUGAAAUAAAGAUACCAAAAAGAAGAAAAAACUUUGCCAUGACAAUGAUGUACUAGUAUCUAUAUGUUCAAUUAAGACUUGAAAUUGUUUGGAAUUAAUUAGAGUGACAACUCUCCCGUCUUAUAAAAGGAUUCAUCCUGAAACUAGAAUGUACAAAACUUAACAUGGUGGAAAGGGAUUACCUGCUAGGUAGUCCUCCACGAGCUUUGGAUAGCAUUCUUUCAUGCCAGCCUCGCUCUCUUAAGUCGCUGCAUCGACAUCCUGAUUUUUCCAAAUCACCUUAAGCAUAGGUGUUUCCUUGCUUCUCAACUGAAAAACCUUUCUGUCAAUGGAUGUAAUUCCUCAAUUUUGUCAAUGUACUGAGGGUCUUGUUUCCCUCAUGUCAGCUGCCAUCUCCUUUAAUUAGCUCGCUGGUAUCCGCCUUAACCAUUUGUGCCCUAUCCUCUCUCACAUUCUUUUUGCCAAUGAUACUUUCUAUCCAUAAUCUGGGAUGGUUGUUCCACAAAAGUCAUGUCUCUCUCUAGCUUAAUUUCAUCUAGAUGAAUCACCUGGUUCGUCUUGCCAAUAUAGACCCGAAGUACACUCACAUGGAAUACAUUAUGUGUCCAGUCCAACUCUUCUAAUAAGGCUAGCACAUAUGCCAAUGGUCCUAUCUUUCGAAUGACAUGGUAAGGACCAAUGAAUCGGGGAUCGAAAUUCACCUUCCUGCCAAACUACAUCGCUCCUUUCCAAGGGAAACUCGAAGGAAAACCUUAUCCCCUUCAUUGAAACUAACCUCUCUAGCCUUCCCAUCAACAUACAACUUCUAUUGAUUAUGUGCUACUCCUAUCUGAGCUCGAAUCACUCUAACUCGUGAGGCUGUCUCCUAGACUAUCUGGGGUCCAAUUAACAACCUUUCUCCAUCCCUAUCCCAGAAUAGAGGGGUCAUGCACUUCCUGCUAUAUGGUGGCUCGAAAGGAGCUACUCCUAUUGUGAGGAUAUGAGUUAUUAUAAACGAACUGCAUCAUGGAUAGAACCUUCAACCAAGGUUCCUCAAACUCUAACACACACAAGCAUAACAAGUCCUCCAAGGUCAGGAUAGUUCGCUCUAACUUACCAUCUAGCUGAGGAUAUUAAGCUGUAGAGAAGUUCAGCUUGGUACCCAUGGCUGCAUGGAAACCCUCUUAGAAGUGGGAGGUGAACUAAGGUACCGAUCCGAUACAAUCGUCCUAGGCACACUGUGCAAUCUCAGAAUAUGCUCUAUAAAUAAACUUGCCAAAUCCUCCACAGCUGCCUUGAACCGAAUGGGUACAAAAUGUGCUACCUUUGUCAAUCGGUCUACUAUAACACAUACAGCAUCCUUCCCAUUGACCAAGGGUAAACCACUAAAGAAGUCCAUAGCGAUGUCCUCAAACUUCCAUACUGGUAUAAGCAGAGGAUGUAGUAACCCUCGUGAUGCCCGAUGAUCAACCUUUUUGUUCUGGCACAUUAAGCAACUGACCACAUGCUGAAUCGGGUAGAUGAAAAGGAGGAUCACCACAGCGCUAGUACUCAUUUUGCAAUGACUGGUGGUGAGUAUGUAGUUUAUAGUGAUGCUUCAUACUCAGGGUUAGGCUACAUUAUGAUGUUGAAUGAUAGAGGGGUGGCUUAUGCAUCACACCUGUUGAAAGUUCAUAAAGUGAACUACCCAGCCCAUGAUUGUGUCAGGAAUCCUUGUUGGAUUUUUAGGACUGUAUAGUAGCGUGUGAUCUACUCUACAAACAGUUGUGUUAUGCAAUUCAUAAUUUCAGACUAUGUCGUAGAGUGUGAUUUACUGCAUAAAAAGAUGUUCAUGAUUCGAGCAUAAGCUCACAACGAGGAACUGUGCAUGUUCACACUUCAUUUCUAGGAUUAAGAACCAGGACUAGAUAGACUAGGUGACGAUAUAAGCCGGUUACCCAACCCAUGGAUUGUGCGAUCUCCCAAGUUACUUUCAGUUUCAGGCAGGAUGUGACGAGUAUGCCUUCAGUUUUUGCUCUCAUGGUAUUUUAGGGUGGUUUCAGGGUCUAAUCCACCAUGAGGCCGUCCGCUCAUAGCUAGGGGUGGUUAAUGGUAGGAUGAUGUCUACAGGACCACAAGGUCAGAUUACUAGAUACUAGUUAAGUUCUUCAUGUUCAGGCUAAGCGACUUAGUGCUUAUCACUGACCCUUUCGUUUCUUCAUGCAUGACCAACCUUGGGACUUCAGGAGCCAAUGCAAACUAAAAAGGGAGCACAAGCAGCGACACCACCUUGCAGUCACUCUAGGAGUCAUAGAGAGAGGUACCAUGGAGGACCUCAGCUAUCUCUAUUAGUGUUUUUGUGGUUUUCAGACAGUCUUUUGUCAUACCUAUUUUAUAGUUGUUGUUUUCCCUGGUUUGGGAUGUUUUUCAUUGAUGUUAGUUGUUGAUUUCAUGUCUUGAUGCUCUAUUUAUUUUCGUUGCCAUUUUACUUAUGUAUUGAGGAUUUUUAGUUCAGGAAAUGUAUGUCAGUUAUCAUGAUUUAUAUAUUAAGUGAACCCGUGAGCCAUGCAUGGAUCGAACUGUGUGGUUCGAUCGAGUCGUCCAGGGGCGGGUUUCAUAAUUGUCUUACACUUUGUUGCUAAGUUUGUCGCUCGGUAAACUAGAUGGGAAGUAUAAGGCUUGGAGAAGCUUAACACAUAAGAGAUCCAUAUGGUUUAGAAUACACCAACCUUGCUCUGUAAGAAGGGCAAGGUAAAAAGUUAUGAAAUCUUUGGGUGGAUAUAGCACCCUACUCGUCCGCCCAAGCUGUCGUGGCUCGGGACAGACACUUUGUGAAUAUGUCAACAUAAUUUGAGAAUGAUGGAUCUGUAGUCGGUUAUUAUGUGAAUCCUAGUAAAGGUCCAGAAGUAGUACCAAUGUAAACUACAGCUAAGUACCGAGCCUAAAUCAGUAGUUGCAUAGACGAGAACGAAAAGGCAGACAAAGAACUGGAAGAGACUAUUGUUGAAGGAGCGGCCCUGUUGGGACAGCGAAGGAAAUGUUGGUGAUGAUGGUAUGGAAAAAGGUGCUACGAGACAAGGAGUUAGUACUGAUGAAGACAAAGGUGUUGAUGACAGUCAUGUGUAUCAGAAUUAGGAUGGGAACAAAGUUGUGGAACGGGAUGGUGUCGUCAAUGGUGAUUAUCGUGACUAUGAAGACAAUGACAAUGCCUUUGAUGCUCCGGAGUUUCUAGAUUCAAAACUAAAAUUGAAGGAUGGUGAUGAUGAUACGGACGGAGGUGGUAAGGGACAAGGGGCUGGUGGUGAUGAAGAAAAAGGUUGUGAUGACACAAAUGUGGAUCAGCAUAAAGAUGGGAAAACUAAUGAACAAAAAGGUGCCGAUGAGAAGUUUUUCGAUUAGAAUCAAUAUGGGAAUAAAGUAAUGGACGGGGCAGGGGCCUCUCGAAUUAUAAUGGACACUAUUCAUAGUAUUCAAGUUAAGCAUCAUGAAGAUAAAGCGAUUGAGAAUGUGUUGUCCUCCCCCUUGAUUUCAACGGCAGUUCUGUCCCUUUCAAGACCCCACCCCCUCAUGGAAACUUUCGCAACCGAAAAAGUUUAGGUUUAUAGAUGGCUCUUCAAGUUUGAAUGAUCUUCUUGCCAAGCAGGAGCCAUCUUCUCAAAUCAUUGUCUGUCUUCUUGCCAGGCAGGAGCCAUCUUCUCAAAUCAUUGUCUCACCUUAAUAUGUUUCUUCCUAUCAACCAAUAGUAGUACCUAACACUCUCAUCUCGAAUAUUAGAAUAACUACUAGGGGUGAACACUAUUUGACAUGCUAGAGCUCCCAUGUUCGAUGACUUUGUUAGGGAUCAUGUCAUUAAUUACUGCUUGAGUGAUGAGCGUGAUCAAUAAGUUAUUCCCUACUCACCCCCUAACUUUUGUUCAUGUUUGCAACCUGUGAUUGAUGUGUUAACUAGUUACAAGCUUAUGUAACAUGUUACAUAGUCUUCUUUGUUGUUUUUUCCAGGAAGGAGAAGUUGUAUAGUAUUAGGCUUCAAAGAUUGGGUAGCGUGAAUGCUUUGAAAUGGGCAUUGACGGAAGCAAAAAAGGAACUACUUCACUGAGUGGAUAAUAAGGAAGAACCGUCGUUUCUCACCCAAAGGCCGUUUAGAUGGCCCACGCUUGGUAUUUUGUCCGAAGGCCGUUCAGAUGGCCCACGCUUGGUAUUUUAUCGUGUUGAUAGACUUCACGUACAAUACAAACUUCUACAAGAAGGCAGCAGUUCAGUUGAUUGGUGUGACGCCAGUUAAGAAACAGGUGCAGGUUGUUCUUGGUAGUCACGUCCCAAAUGCCUUUGUUUUGGAUAAAGAGAGAGGAUUGGGGGUUGUAUUGACAGAGCUAUUCCCUUUUUUUGCACCAUUUCCUCUAUGUAUGGCACAUGAAGAGGAAUAUAGAAGUGAAAGUAACAAAGUUUUUGGGAUGCAGAGAUAAAGCUGAGCCUUUCAUAUUAGGCCCGUGGGGAGAGUGUUGAAUGUAAAAACAAGCCAAGGGUUCUUAAAUUUUGGGAUGCAGAGAUAAAGCUGAGCCUUUCAUAUUAGGCCCAUCGGGAGAGUGUUGAAUGUAAAAACAAGCCAAGGGUUCUUCGCCAAAUGGCAUGAUUUAGUAAAUAUUGGGAUAAAUAAAGAGUUGUUGGAUUAUUUUACCGCCAAAGGGCUACUUUGCAAGCAUAGGUUGGCUCGUUGUUACACUAACCAGGUGUUCGACCUCGGUAACACCAGCACGAAUAGGGUGGAAUUGGCUCACUUGUCCUUGAAGAGGUGGCUUUACACUUCGUUGAACAAAUUGGAUGGAAUUUUUCUUACAUACCAUCGAGUUAUGGGUGUUCAAGUGCUGAGUUGAAAAAGUUGUUAGAGGAAUUCUGACAAAAGACAUUUUAAAUUUGUGAACCACCUUAUGGGAUGCUAAACACAGAGGUUAGAUUAUGGGCGAUUCAGUUUUUGGAUCAAGAUCGAAAAUUCGUAAUGUUAUGUAGGUGUAUUUUUUGUCCAACAAUUGGUCUUCCUUCUAGACAUGAAGUUCAGAGGUUUCUUAACACAGGCAAGUUGCUGCACAAACGGGACUUACAUCGCUUUUGGUCUACAUUGGAUUAUACUUGUGAAACCAGACCCUAGAAGACCUGGUCGAACCACUGGCUUGACCCACUGGUUCGACCCAUGCAACCUACAUGGGUUUCAUAGGACUCUACUCAAACCCACAACUGCUAAAAAAUUAAUAAAACAAUCAUUAAUACUGAACUGAAAUCCUUUAUUAAACCUUCCAAAUUUUGAAAGACAAGUAUCCUGAAUCCUGAAAGACAACACAUAAAGAGAAGAGAUGAAACUCCCCAGUUCUAAAUACAUAAAAAUCAUAUAUAAAUUGAUAUCAAAACUCGAACUAGCUCAUCCCACCUCCAGCUCUUGCAACUGUGACUCUACACACAUACAAUGGAAACAAACAUCUGACGGUGUCAGCGCUCAGCACUUAGUGGCUAUCUGAACUUGUGUAGAACUUAGAUUGAAACUGAGGAUAGAACAUAUAAGUCAUCCUAUAGAGUUAACAAAUUUUCAUGUGAAAAGCUUGCUAAAAAAUGCAUUUCCAUUUUCUCGCCCUCUUGUUAGAACAUUUUUCGCUUCCUGAAUUCCCAGUUAAAUAUCAUGGUUUUCCAAACUUGCGUAUUUCCCUACUAUCCUAGUGUUUCCUUUCAGUGAAAGUUCCCAUGUUUCACGCUUUGAUUUACUUGUCUACUGGUUGUAGGCAUUAUCAAUAUAAUUCUUUUGUAGUUAAUAUCUAAUCCUAACUCGAGGUUGAUCAUUUACACAAAAGAUUAAUUCUCUAAUGAACUCGCUUCUUAAAACACUCUUCCUCCUUAAACUUGUCAUUAUUCCUAGAGUGACUACUUGUUGAUGCCAACGGUCAGAUCCGUAGCUCAUCUUUGCUUGUCUCUCUCUCUCUCUUUCUUUUCGUUUAGAUGUAAGGUGUAGGCUCUUCUUCCCGCCCUCCUAGCAUGGAAACAGGGGCAAGCGCAAGCAAGUCCCUAUAGAUGAUAAGCUGAUAAUAAAUCCCGAUCCUAGAAGUCCUGGUCGAACCAUUGGUUUGGCCCAUGCAUACUAACUCGGGUUCCACUAGACUCAACUGAAACCAACAUUGAAUGACAUUCUCAUAAACUAGCAUUAAAUCAUAAACUAAAACCUUUAUUAAAAUUUUAAAUAGACAAGGCAUGGAUCUUGGAUCCCAAAAUACAAUACAACAAGAGGAGAUACAACUCCCAGCUUUAAAAUAAAUCAAAAGAUGAUAUCAAUUGAUACUAAAGCCUGACCAGCUCUCCCUACCAUCCAACUCAAGUAUAGUGACUGAACACAUAGAUACUACUUAAAGACAAUAUCCAAACGGGGUAAGUGCUAACCACUGAGUGCCUAAACAUCAUCCAAGGAGGAAUUGUGUCCGAUCAACGAAAAGGGAAACAUCUCUUAAAAAAUGGAAACAUCUCUUAGAAGAUAUCACAUAAAAUCCUCAAGUAUAUACUAGUAAUGUGACCAUACAAGUCAACUAGUAUGAUACAUAGCAUCAGCCAACCUUAUAUGUGUGGUUAACCUCAUAGUGGAUCAGACCAUCUAACCACCCUAACAGUGCGAGCAGCAUCUAUAGGCACAUGCACAUCAACAUGUCCUAAACCUUUCCUUUUAUAAAUAGUGAUUGUGUAAUCCGGGGUGACUGACCAAUGCACAUCAAUAGGAUCUAGUCUACAUCAUCAACCAUCUCAAGGAAAUUCCAUUCAUGGGAUUCCUCAACAUCUAACUACAGUUCUACACUUGACCAUGGAGUAAUAAAAUAUAAACCCGACUUUAAGAAGAGCUGACACUUCUAAUUCUGACUUUAUAUGAUUCCCCUCACUGCCACAAAUCAUAUCUUCUGAUUGUGUGUCAUUACGAGCUCAAACGAUUAUAUGCUCCAUAUACUUCUUUGCAAUAAAUGGAAACUUGCUUGAGCAUAAUCCUUGCACCAGUCCUCAAAUGCUCUUGGUUACACUACCUAAUCUGAAACUUCUAGACGCUCACAAAACUGUCCCAAGUCCUUAACUGUAAACCAUCCAAAAAUUCAAAACCACGGAAGCUAGACUUAAUAUGAAUUAAUUACAAAAUACCCAUUUAUCUAGCAAGGCUUUGCAUAUAGGGUCACCGAACUCCUUGAAUAUUAUGUGGAGGUCAUUCUACUUCUACGGUGAGGCUGGUCGCCAUCGGCGACCUCUGCCAAGAAUCCGACAAGGCUUCCACAACUUCCCAAAUUUUUGGAAUUGCCGCCUUCGGGUGUCGUUUCGUCCCAAUUCCUUCGCUAUCGGCCGACGCAUGUCCACGAGCCACAAAAACCUUCUUCCUCUCGAUCGCUCACCUCGAGAGGACUUCCGCCCCUAUAUCGAUGCCUCCGACGACCACCGAUUGUAGCUCCCUUCUCCUCGAUCUCUGUUCCGAAUACAAAACUCCACCGCACACCCUCGCCCCUUGUGAGCAAGGAUCUGCUGCUGAUCUUGAUCCCUUCUCACCUUUGAAACCUUCCAUCGAUCGCUAUUGUUGUACUAGAAGUUGGUAGAAAGAGAACUCCCCCCUCUGCAUCCCCAAUUAAGUUUAGGUAAGUGGGGUUACUCACAAAAUUCUGGGCCAAUUAAAUGUAACUGGGCUCGAUUGACCAUUGGGCCCAUCCGACGGCACUACAAACUCUUCCUUCAAAGAUAGCAAUCAUAUUUAUUCACUUAGAUGGUUCAAGGUCAAUUCCUCACCGUUAGAUCUAUCUAAAAUAUCUUCAGCUCGUGACUUAACAAAUCAAAGUGUUAACUUAGCCUCCGAUUGACUUAGUCAAAUCCGAUAAUUAUCCCGAGACUAACAAGCAUGUAAUAGUUGGUCAACAGCUGAGUCAACUCCUUGACUUGAUUAAAUUAAUUUAGAUUUCAACUCUCAACUUCUACUCAAUGAGUAAGAUUUGACCGAAUAGAGAAUCACUGUGUCAUAACUCUUCCCAACAUCUAUAGGUUUUGUCCCAAAUCCUAACUUCACGCCCACUAAAUAGAAAAGAUCUUAUGCUUUGGUGAAGAAAUACAUUGGUGUUGAACCACCACAACUCUAAAGUCUACUUGGAAGCACUAAGGUCAAGCUUUGACCAACAGUUCCAAAAUAAUUUAUAGCUCACCUUGUCCUCCUUUUUAGGAACACUUGACCCUACUAUGCCAUCCUCCUCAAAGGACCCAAUCAAUCUGCACCUUGGGGAUGACCUAAGGUCAAACAAAAACCAAACCCCAAUCUUGUUCUAAAAGACCGACAAUGGUCCACACCUCAGCUUGCCUAACACUAACUCGACGCACCCCAGUGGAACUCAGGGCUCAUUCCUUACUCCUACAAAACAGUUCAAACUCGACCCCCGAAAUCCGCUCCUGACCGAGCCGAGAUUCCAAAGCUAAGUUUGGCAGACUUUGCCAAUAUAAGCCUAUCCCUCUUGCCAUAGAACUGGAUCGACCAUGCUCAACACAGAGUCGGCUUAUCAAUCUCACUACCAAUUGAACACCACUACAUGGCACCUUCCUCAGAAGCUACUAAACAACCAAAUUUGAAGCCUUACUCCCACUAUUCUAGGUCCAUGUCACCUUUGAGCGACCUCAGAAUCAACUAUGUGCAUCAUUCAACAGUUUGCACGAGACCAAGCCUCAGAUAAGGAUGACACCUUAUUUGCAGCCUGAUCAUGUGCUCUACUUAGCCCACUGCAUCACUGUCCAUGUGGGUAGUGGCGCACCAACCCCAUAACCAUCAGUCCCGCCACGCCCAUGGUUAGCAACACACAACGCCUAUGGCCACAUAGCACCACACACGUGGAAUGCCAUCCAACCACAAUCUGUCUGUCACACAUCUUUUGUUGUCUCCAUGCUCCCUCAUCCUCGACUGUUAGUAACCUCUUGUUCAUCUAACCAAUUGCUAAUGCUGCCUUUUAGAACACAGUUUCUACUAUCGCCACAUUCAUCCCAACCAAUCCACUACUUCUCUUUAGAUGAGCUUCUAGUAGCCCAUGAACAUUGUCUUAUGAAGUUAAGAUACACUUUUAAGGUACUUUAAAAUCCCAUCCUCUAGUUUAAGCCCCUCAAAACAAGACCGACCAUCCUUUGUCAAACCGAUGAAAACAGGCCAUAAAACCUUUCCAACACUAAGAACCAGUCAAACCCAACGGAAAUAAGAAGUCUUGAAUGUCUAACUUUUAAAAAGAGUGGAAAACCUUGUAAACCUUUAUAACCCGAGUUUCAAAUAUCCAAACCAUACUUUAGUUCCUUAAAACGUACAUCCUCAUGAAGUAGCAUCUAGUGCGGAUACUAAUCUCAAUCUAAAUUCAAACAAAAGUUCAUUAAAACGGAAGUCAUGAUAGACCUUCAAAUUUCUUUAACACUUAGCCAGCCCAAAGGCAGCAAUAAAACCUUCUUAAAACCAGCACGUUUCAGGACAUCCUAAAACAUAGCUGAAAUCCUCAAAUCCACUUAAAUCACUGAGAGCCUGACAACAAUAAAAGGUGCAGGGAUCCGCCUUUAAAAAAGUGAAGCCUUUUCAGCAAUGAGUUAAUCUAUAGAAAAUGCUCGACGUCCUCUAGACCUUCCUUUCUAUUCCACUUCUUUCUUCCCUAACUCUCCUUCCUCCUGACUCAAACCAUAUAGGCUUGCACAUUGCCUAUAACCUCUUAGAACUACACUGCUCAAUCCUUUACCGAUUUCCUUUGAAAUCUGAACAAACCUUGCCCUUCCAAGAUGAUAUCGGCCCCUUGGUAGUCACCAUAUGACGGAAAGACUCCCCUUAUCCUAUCGUGCAUCAACUCCAUGCUUUUGGUACCUUUACGAACACUUCAUCCACUAAGCAUAAUUCCUAGCUCAACAAGCCCCACACUCCCAUGCUCCAGACAUGGAGGUGCAAAGACCAAUCCUUGUGGUAUGGUACUUCAAAUACUCUACUAGUCGAGCGACUAGCUCAACAUUGCAACUUUCACCUUGCAGCUUACACUACCAUCCCUCAUAAUGAGAUUGCUCUUAGCAAAAGUUCCCCAAUGAUAGGUAAUACUAAACUCAUAGUACUACUGGAACCUUAGUCAAGAUUCAGGGAAUUAAGUCAUCCCUCACCAUGAUGACGGUCCCGAAAAGUCUAAUCACUCCACUCCACUGAGCUCAUGCCCUCCUAACACUUCUUUCUCUUAUCCUCACCAUGACCUCCUUCUUUCUCUUUUGAUCAAGGCAUGCCACACCAGUGAUAUCUUCCUUUCCACACCCGUGGUUGACCAUCCAACAUGAUUGUUUCCACCUACCAGUCACGAGUGUUGCAUCCUCCCAUCUCCACAUCCAUUGUGACCUCAUCCCCACGCCCAUAAUUCCUUCCUCACCACAACCAUGGUUAACCCUUUACCCCGCUCGUGGCUAGUUAAACACCACAACUGUAACUAGAUAACCAGCAUGACCAUGACUCGAUCCGCAUCACGCCUAUGACUAGAUUCAUUCCAAAACUGCUAGAGCUACUGCUGCUUUUAUAGUAACACAUGUUACUGUCCUUUUGAAACUAAGAACGACCUCACCCUUGCUCCUUCCCUACUCUCAUUAAACUUCUAGAACUUUAUAGCUUCCUCAAUGGUAACCCUUGCUCCUGAUCAUCUGGAGCAGCUAAGACUUCCAUCCUUACUUUUGAGUUGGUCCACAAUCAAACAUCAAUAACUUCUUACCUCCUUGGUGAAACAUCCCAGGAAAGAUGACUACACCCUAGCUCUGAAUUCCUUUUCCCAAUUGGGUUCCAGAAAGAAUCAUCCUAGUAAUGGCUCUACAGACUCUCAAAGUCUAAUUCUUCAUUUCCCCUUUUCCUUUCCCCUCAUCUUACUGGAGCUAUUGAAGCUCAACAACAAGUCUAUAAGUCAAGAAAACAAGGAACUCUAUCCCUAAUUCCUUACCCCUUUAAUCAAUGGGAUUUUGAAGUUCUAACAAUCAAAUGAAUCUUGAGAACUAUCGGGGUUGUUUCGUACUCAAGGUCCCUUCGUUAGACUUUAAACAACCUAGGUUUCACGCUCUAGUUCCUCUAGUAAUGGAGAUAAACUAUUUCUACAAAGAAACUAAAAACUACCUAAACUAACUAGAUGAGUAAAACAAAUGAAAUAGUCAACAAUUAAAAUGAGAUGUUGCUAGGUUUCAAGACUAGUUGUUUUAAGACUAGUCGAUGCUCAAAUGCAAUUCACAAGAAGAGUUGGACAUAAUGAAAACAGACUAUGACAUUGAUUCUUUUAUAGGGAUUUGAAGGAAUCCAUGACAAGGUCUUGCAAUGGAUUACGACUACCAAUUCACAAGUGAUCAACUCAAUUGGUAGUGAAUACAAGGUGUUUGGCGAAGUUCCUAGGUGCUUAGAAAGCCUUAAUGACACCAUAAACACCAAGGAAAGGAUGCUAGUCACUGUAUGACACCCCAAACAUCACAAUAACUCAAGUUUGUCACCGCCUAUAAUGAAAUGCACUCUCAGUGUUUGAUGAAAUUUCACUAAGGAAAUCCUCAAACUAAAGGUUGAAUUAGGGUGUGUGCAUGGUCCACAAACACUUGAAUUUAAUCUUGGACUUACUUCUAACAUAUUCCAAUCAUAAUCAUACAAAGGAAUGGGUUCAUAAGACCUAUUUCAAGCCAUGACACAAACUAGGUUGAAACUCGAAUGUCCAAGCACCAUUAUUAGCAUAAGAAGAAUCCAAUUGUAUGCAACCCCUCAUCAUGAUGGGAUAAUCCUUGCUCAUAUCUCCCUCGUCCGACGUCCAAUUAAGGUCCAAUUGGUCUCGUUGGAAUCGUCUCGUUAUCUUCUAUCCAUCGAAUACCGUCAAGCUCAACGAAACAUUAAGAAAGCAAGUCACAUGUAUUGAAACGGUUCGUUCGAGAAAACACAACACAAUACCCUUGUUUCUUCGAACCAAUCACACAAGGGAGUCAAAGUCGGUCAAACCGAGUAAAAAAUCAGUCAAGAUGGGUUCAAAAAUGGCUACCAAUAAUCGUGCUAUCAAAUCCCCCCACGAUGGGACAUUCCUUGUCCUCGAGGAAAUAUACUCACACACUCACAAAGAACUUGAAAUAUGGUGAUCAAAAAGCAUAGCCUAUAGUCUCAUAUCUUACCAUGGUGCCAACUAGUACUAGUCAAACACCAAAGCACACAAUUAAGCAUAACACUGGUUCUCUAGACUAGUGGAAGAUGGAUUACUACAUAUGAUGCAUAUGACUCCAUUUCUAACCACCGGUGUGCGUCCAUAACCUCCAAACACUUAUGCCACCAAGCUAACAGAGGAAGGAAAAAACUAACGACUCAUCCUGAUCCGACUUUCUCUUUCGUGGGAAGGUGCUUUACAACCAUUUUUUCAUACAAAUCAUGGCACUAAAGCAAUGCUAGCACCGUUCUCUAAUUUACAUGCUUGACUAUACUACUAGCUAUAAUCUAUUAUAUACAACUUGCUUUCACUCGCUUAUGCUUUUCAUCUUCAUUUUUUUCUUUUCGUUCAUUUUUCACAUUUUUGGCUUUUCUUUAUAUUUAUGCUUUUUCCAAAUGCGAAUGGUCACAAUCUUGACCGGACUCCGAGCUAACCAGUCUCCAACCCAUGCCCUAAGCUUCAUAAAUGUAGGGAAGAAGGUAGACCUCGAGGGUCGCCACAUGUGUAUAGGUUCUAACCAAAUCCCACGCCUUAGAACCUCCUUGAAUUCUAUUAGCUUCUUCAAGGAUUGGAGUUUAGUGCCAAGUAGCACCCUUAGAGAGGUAUGGAGGAGCCGAAGAGGUGGUGAGUGCCAACUCUUUCCUCGUUGCGGCUUCCUCCUUGUGAAUUUGUAUGCUUGAAGAGGGUAGAGGUAGGUAUUUGAGUGAACGCCAAGCUCCAUGGUGAUCCCUAGGCUAAUGGUGGUACUUGGGCGGUCGUUGAGGUCGGCCAAGGGUGGUCCCGAGAUGGAGGAGUCUGUUCAAGAUCAGUUUGGUGAGUACUCAUUGUGAGUUUCCUCACGUAAGUAUGUCAAAACCAAAUAUGAGUCUAGAAAUGUCUCGUUUAGUCUCAUUCAAACUACAACUCAAGGGAAACACCAAAUGAUGGGUUGCUCAAUGGGAGGUGCAACGUCAAACUUGGGAUGCCCCAUAUCUUCAUGAGCUUCUACCUUAAACUCUCCAUCAUCCUCCCUGUCGGACUCUUCUACCCCAUCAUGGAAAAUUGAUGCUUUCACUUCUUCUUAACACCAUCUACCAUAGACUUCCAAUCCUGAAAAUUGAUGCUUUCACUUCUUCUUAUCACCAUGCUACUCCUUCAAUUUAGGAAGGAAAAAAACUACUUCCUUUAUUCUCUGAUUUCCCACUCCCACGUAAAGAGAUAAACCCAUCAUAUAUUUGUUGAUAGUUUCCUGAGGUUGAUAGUUUCCUCGUAUCUUUGGAUGACUUGGAAGGUGGUAUGGGGCACAAUUUCUGCGAUAGAGGAUCGAUUUUUUGGCUAGGGCAUUAGAGUUGUAUCUCCAAAGAAUAAUUUAUUUUGUUUAACGUCCAAAUACACGACAAAAUUCUUUUGUGAUGAUUUUGGGUGCUUAGACAGCCCGAAACACAGCUGAAUAUAUUUAACAUCUGAAUAAACGAAGAAAUUAUUUUUAGAUAAAUUUGGAUGAUCCAUUUAUAGGCCGAAAAAAGGCAUAAAUUCUUUGGAUUGAUUUUUGGUAAUCCAUUUAUAGCCCGGGGAAACAGACAAAAUUCUUUGAAAUGAUUCUUGGUAAUCGAGGACCGAAAAAGCGGGAGAAAGUCUUUGGAAUGAUUUUCGGUGAUCAGUUUAUAGUCUAGAAAAACAAUAAAAAUUCUUUGAAAUGAUUUUCGAUCAUCCAUUUCAUAGCCAGAAAAAACGUCCGAAUUUUUUUGAAAUGAUUGAUGGUAAUUUGUUUAUAGCCCAAAAAAGGGCACAAAUUCUUUGAAAUGAGUUUGGUAAUAUGUUUAUAGCCAAGAAAAUGGCCGAAAUUCUUUUAAAUGAUUUUUGAUAAUCCGUUUAUAGCUCGAAAAACGACCGAAAUCCAUUUAACGAUAGGAGACAAGACGAAAAUUCUUUUUUAGACAAUUGAAAGUAGGGGUUAAAAAUUUUGCUACAAUUUGUUUCAAGUAGGGGUUAGGAAACUUCCGUGAGAAUUUUCAGCGGAUGUGCUGAUCGUGUAUUUUUUUGGAGUGCUAGGAAUGGGAGGUAUAUCCUUGUUCUUUUUCUCUUUCUUUUUCCCUGGUUCUUUUAUUGGUAUAUCGUAUUGAUGACCUUUUAUGUUAACAUGUCCCCAACAGUAAGGUGAGGGUUGUUAAUUCUAUAAGUGGGUCUAUCUCCAUGAUGGGGAGAGGUUCGACAGAGGCUCUCUUAAAUCAAGUACCUUUCUCGAAGUCACAUAAUUGGUGCUAAGGCUCAAAGUGUGAAGCUAACCAUGGUUGUUGGUGAGCUCCAUAUGAGGACGGAAGAUAUAGUCCGUGUCAUGAGGAGAGCCGAUAUUCCUGUAGUUGCUGCAACUUUGGGUCAUCCUCAACCCUCCUUGGAUCGUCGUAAUGCCCCCAAAAGACUAACUAUGAGUUAGACUUAGGAAAUUAUCACCAUAUGGAACUAGAUGUCGCCAUCCAUAUUAGACACCCUAGGUGCACCCUACGGCUGCUUCCCCGUAAUUGUAUGUUCUAGUUGUUGGUGUGCCCCAACACUUCUGUUGUCAGCUUUCUUUUGUAGUCGGUGUGAAACUUCUCCGAAAAGCUAGACCUUAUAGCUUCUCGGGGAUGUUUAUCCACUGUUUGUCCCCUGAAACGACCAUAGGAUCCUAUCGCCCCUUGUUUCUUUAAAUACAUGUCAUUCCUAAACACUUUUCUCCUCAACCAAAUUCAUCUUAUCAACUCAAUUAUUCUCCAUCAAGCGGUCAGCCGUUUUCUCAACUAAAUUCAUGACUGAACCGAGUAAAACCUAAAAUUAGAGGUUCUAACAGUGUGAUUGUGAAAGACUUGUAUGUCUAAGAGAAUUCCUUAGGUGAGGGAAAGAUAAGGAUCUUCCUCUAGUGUCAAAAAAUGGGAGGUAUGCCUCUAUUUCCUUUUUAUAUCUUUCCACUAUGUCUCUUUUUUUGUCGGGUUUAUUUACCCCUUAUCAUGAACUUUUCCAUUUGCAGUAUCGGUUAGGUUGUCAUUAUUGUGAGUGAUUCGUGUUUCUCAACAAAAAAAUAAUACGUGGUGGCCUUCUUUGAUCUGGCUCUUCUUCAGAUAAAGCUACAUCUAAAGUUUCUCUAGAAACUGUUGGACUACAUAUGGUUGUUUUGGCGCAAGAUAAGAAACUCGAAGAUAUUGUCGUAAUUUUUGUGACUAUAUAAGAUCGCUCACAUCCUUCAUCGGGGUGCGUCUCUCAUGGUUUGAAAGAUAAGGCGUCAUCGUCCUUAACCAUUGGUUGAAUUGUUACUCGAUCUCCCCCUUCUUGGUCUUCUAAUGUGGGCUUCUUUUUCAGGAUUUUUUAUGGUGUGGGGUUCAAUUUUCCUUUCUGAUUGUUCUCCGUGGAACUAGAAGAAAAUAUUAUUCAUGUUCAUUAGUCCCCUAUUAUUCAAUCAACCUAGUAUCCCUAAGGUGACUAUGUUCCUUCUUUCGCAUCUCAUAUAAUUUUAUGUUAUUAGGAUAACCAUAUGGGGUGAGUGAAGAGCAUUUCCUACCCUUAGUCCUGAAAUGAUAAUAGGGGUAUGUUGUAUUGAUAGAGCAUUCAACUAACCUAUCAAUUUUCGUCCCAUACAUUUUUUUUCUUCAUUUGUUGAACCCCUUUUCACCGACACUUUCCUAUAUAAACCCUUCCCCUCUUUUUUUUUCUUUCUUUCCUUCAAUUUAUUCCUUCUGCUUCGUUUUCAUUUGAAACUUGUUUUCACCGAAACUAUAGUUUUUCAACGACUAUUACUUUUUUGUUUCCGAUGAUGUCCGACUGUUCAAUAUAGAUGUUGAUGGGGUCAUCAUCCACAAUGUCCUUUUUUCUUGUUUCUGCUACAUGUGCCCCCUUUCUAAAAGGUUUGAUGAAGCAAUAGAGAGGAUCGGCGAAUCAUCUACUUUUCGCCGCCGUGGCAAAGGAAUGGUUGUGGUAGUGACGGUCAGUGUCUUGAUUGCCCUUUAUACUCUUCUAUAUUUAUCUUUUGUUUCAUAUAUAUCCCCUAUGUUCUAUUUGGAGGUUAGGUACUAUCCAACUAUUUUCUUUGACCAUCUAUUGUUGAAAUACCCGACCAUUUUCUAUUUAUUAAAUAACCAAAUUUCCCUGUAGGGAUGACUUGACUGAAAAGAAUUUUCAAAAAAUUUAUCAAACAACUUUAAUUAUGCACCGAAACUUUUUCCAAAAUCGAAGAACGGUAGCACUGUAAUUUUCCAUCCAUUGCCAAAUUAUUGAACUGGUCCCUGAACAAUUUAACAAUUACAGAUCAGUCACACAACUUUUGCCAAGUUACAAAAAGUCACUGAAUUUAACCUGAAUUGCAUUCAGUUCACUCAACUUAUAGAACUUUGACAUUUGGUCACCAAAAUUUUCCAGAGUUGCGGUAAGGUCACUGAAGUUUUCCAAGAUUGCUGGCCAGUCACUAUUCUUUUCCGGCAAGACUGGUCGUCGCUGGCGAGCAUUUUCCAAAAUCUGGCGAGCACCCAAAAUUCUUGGAACGCCAGUUCACUAAGGGGGAAACUCGAAUAGGUAGCUAGGAUAGAUUCAGAGCUGGAUCUGAGGCUGGGGAGGUGACUUCAAGGCGUAGGGUCGACCUGGAAGUUCCACAACGCUUCCAACUCAGGCGAGCUUCACCACUCUCCGGCGACACCUCCAAAUUAAACAAAUCCUUAUAAAAUGAAACCUAAUGCUCGGGGAACGGUUGCUGGUCUUCAAACAACGCUAAUGGGCACACUUGGUAGCCACGAAUCGAUCUAGAAGUUGAUUGAUUGGAGAUCGUCAGCGCCUUCGACUUCUACCUCCUAUCUCUGUCUCUCUCUUUCUCUCUGUCUCUGUCUCUUUCUCUUUCUCUCUUUCUUUCUCUCUCUCUCUCUAUCUCUCUCUCUCUCUCUAUCUCUCUCUCUCUCUCUUCAAUCAUGCACGACACAAUAUCCCUCUAUCUUCUAUAGUUCAUCUAACGGGAUAAGAAUCAAAGAAUGGGGAUAAGGAUCAAUAAAAUCCAGCUGUUGCUGCUACUGCACAAAAUCGGCUAAGAAGGAGGAGAAGACAACAAAAGACUUGGGUCGUCCUGAAUGAAAACAACCCUCUCCUCAGGCCAUUAGAUGAGUAUGACAGUCUAAACACAUCUGUCACCUCAACUUGACUUCGUUUCCAGGCCAUCUCAACCGUACGCUCUGUCUAACAACUCAUAUCUCUCCUAAUUCUUUCCUUGAAUGGAUCAAGCUUCCAUCUACCACCGCAGGAUUCAUACAGCGGUCCGCAUUCCUCACGACUACCUUUAGUCAAAUAACAGCUUCAUUCCAUAUCCGCUUAUUUAGCAAACCAGAUACAUACUUUACUAAUUAAUUAAUCAUCAAACAUCUCAUUCCGUUGUUUGAACUAAAUCAAGUUCAAAAAUUUAAUUCACAUAAAAGUUAAUUUCUUCACAUAUUUAAUAGGCAACUAAACUUAAUAAUUACUUCUAAGUAUCACAACAUUAGACAUAACAUAGGAAAUUAAAUAAUUCACUUACUAAUAACGACUAACAUAUUAAACCUAACAUAAUUUCCACUAUAAUACCGAGUCAAAUAAAUUAUCGAUCAAGCAAACGUUAAUGCAUAACUUAUAUACAACUAAACACAAAACAAGAAUUAAAACAAUAAUUUACAUAACAAUACUAAUAUUUUCAUAACAUGCGUUUAUGCUAGACUUUCUAAGGGAGAGUUUAGUAAUUUAAAAUUUUAUUUCACGUGAACGUUAAUUUCGAUCGCUAGGAUCGGGAUGUAAUAACUGUAUUGGCAAAGAAGAAUCAGGUUAAACAAACCCAUUCUUUCCUAUCGCCGACAGUGUUGACGAUUUUUAUUAUUGUGUUUGAUGUGUUGGGAUGAUGAGAGGAAGGAUGACAUGAUACCCCUCCAUUUCUUUAUCAGCCACCAACCAUGAUAGUGCACUCCUCCCUUCAUACUCCAUUCACAUUUUUCAUUACAGCCCCGACAUCGUCUCCGACCGGUUUUCUUUUUACCGAUGCACUUUAUCCGGCAACAGAGUCCAAAUAUGCGGUUACUCAAUCGGUGGGCCGAUAUAUCGCAUCACACCAUUUUUCGAACGGUUUAAAUUUCCUUUUCAUGCUGACACUUGGUGAGACAUGAAGAAUUGAUAGUGCAUCUCCCUUUUUGGUCACAUUGGCUUGUCCUUCUUACUGAUACUCUUCACUAACAACAAACUCCGCUCAACAAUGGCUGACAUUAACUCCUCUUUUCCUCCCGUCGGUUGGCGGAUUUAAAGACAAUGGAUCUGAUUCCCUCUCGCCCGUAAAGACGACCAUGAGAGCUCGUCCUUUUCAAAAUCAUCGACCAAUCCUCCUCUUUCUUAUCUGUAGUAAGAGCCACUCUUCCUCUUCUCUUUUUGUUUCAGCUCUUAAUGUUUUUGUUUUUGUAUCAGCUCAUAAUCUUUGUCUAACUGGAUCUAGCUCGGCUCCUGGGUUUGCCGAUGAGGAACACCGCUAUAGUGGCUUAACAAUCCCGUUAAUUUCUUGAUCUGAUGUUGCUUGUUAUUAUUCUCUGAGAUCGAUAUGCUCAUUGACUAUUUCACUCUUGGAUGAUUUUACUAUUUUGCAAUGUCUAACCUCUCAUCCAUAGCAUAAAAAGUUAACGGACAUAGAAGUGAAACUACUCUCUAAUGUGGAUGAUGUACCCAAACUCAAAGUUAAUUUCCAAACAAACCAAUGUUUCUAGAUGACCAUGACGUUGGGUGCGGUAUAAUAUAAUAUAGGAUAAUUUUUAGUUGAGGUGCUAGUUUGUGUCUUGUUCAGUUUGGUGUCUAAAGUUUGAUGCAUAUUAGAGUUCACUAGGUCUCUAGAGCUUGUUUGUUAUGUACAUUCGAUCUAAAGUAAUUUAAUAUUGCUUUAACACCUCUAUCUUGACAUACCAACUCACAUGAGGUAUUCUAAAAGACCUCCAAGUCGGAUUUUAUUAUUCUUAGUCAUUGGUUUGAGCUUGAAUAAUCUAGUUAUGAUUUCCAACUUUUACUUUGUCUAGCUAGCUUAAAUCCGUACUAAAGUUCGUUUAUCCGAGCUAGCCAUUUUGAUUUUAUGCAAGUAUCACAACAUGUUGAACCAAUUUUAAAAGGGGUUAGGGCCUAGGAUAGUAGUAUUUUAGAACCUACUAAUCUAUCCUUAAUCGAUCAUUAACAUUCCAAUCAAAGCAUGUUUAGGAUAGUGCUAAUAAUAUGUCAUGUAAUUAUGCUUGUAAAGUAGGUGCUUUUUAGUUCUUUUCCGUUGAUAAACCUUUCACCUUUACAUUAUGACUUCUUUUCAUUGCAAGGUGAUUAAUCCGAUUUGAGUCUUGAGAUGGAGAUGAUAGCUUUAGUGCUAGGUGAGCUUGACUAUGAGACUAUGAUAAGUAGGUUCGGGUGGAGUUUUCGAGUGAGAUUUAAUGAAAGGGGCUCAGUGAGGAGUGAUUACUUUUGAAUUGUUUGAGUGAGGGUUUGAGGGUGAUUUGAGGGUUUUAGGAGUGUGGUUUUGUAACUAAUUAGGUCAUUCUUUUGUUAUUUUCACUUGAUAAUUUUUUGAUUGAUGUUUGUGAUGCUAAAAUAUGUGAUUAUCUCUCUCAUUUUUCACAGAGUUUACCUCUUCUUUCUCCUCUUUGAAUUUCAAAAUUGAACACUUUAUAUAAGUCUGAAAAUAGUUGUAGAUGAAUAGUGGAUUUCUGAAAAUAUCCCCUACCAGAUCUACACCUAUCUCACCCUAGACUGCCACCUACCCUAGGUUGUCCCCUAGUGGGCCUCAUUUGCCUGGUUUGUCUGGAUCUGAACUAGUUCGGGGAAAACCGUAUCGGUUAUUAUUUUCACAUCACAAAUCCCGACUAAUCUUGAUUUGAAAUUAAUUUGGAUGCUUUUAAAUCCUUCUAAAUAAAUUUACGGAUCAUAGGUGAAUUCGAACCGCUGCAUAAUCCUUGUAUUUAAGGAGGAAUUGAUUUUAAAAGAGUGAAAUGACUGCCUAACCGCACUUGGUUCAGUCCUAAACCAAACCGAAUUUGACCAUCCAACUAGACAAUUAAUGCUCUGGGCUAAAACUAUCUUUUUCCACUGAAUGACACCUAAGUCAAACCGGUUUGAUCAAAAUCUGACAUGGAAUUUACUUAAUUGUAUUCGUAAUUAAAUCAACACUCUCCUCCUUAAAUAUUUAUGAGCGUACUAGGUGAUUAAGCUAUUAAAAUCCCAUAUUAUAUCCAAGAAUUUCGUUGGUUUACAUAACCAUAUUAAUUUAAAUGAGAGAAUCAAACCGUACGAGUUAUCCGGUCGAUCAAACUUGUCUGGAAUUUAGGUAAAAUUAUACUCAAAUUCUUUGAUUUAAUUCCAUUAUUCCUACCCUAAUUUUAAGCACCCAAGCUCAACUUUGCCAGUCUGUCUAAAAAUAUAUCAAAUCAUAGGGCGAGUUACACAAAAAUGGGUUUCAAAUAAAGAUGACACCUUAUCUCUAUGCCAAAACAUGUGCUCUACUUAGCCCAUUGCAUCACUAUCCACAAGCGUAACCCCUCAACGCAGCAUGCCUGCAUCAGCAGGUGCGCCAUACCAGUGGUAAGCCAUCCAUCCACGAUUUGUUCGUGACACAUCUCAUAUUGCCUCCAUUCCCCAUCGACAACCUAGUCUUGCGCUCCCCAUGGUCUGGAACGUCACUGACUACCAGACCUGUGGAUUCCUCACACGUCACCCUCGUGAUCUACUAGACGAUGCAUUUGCUAAUUCUCUGGCCACGCUCGUGACAUACACUGUCACGUGCAUGGUCGGAAUACUAACCACGACCGUUCCCUCGCACCACACUUGUGAUUCAUUGAUUACCUCUCUCGUGACCAACACAGCAUCACGGAUGUGUUUACCAAAUAACCUUGAUGGUUGUCCGUCAUGCAAUGCCGCUGCCUCUAUUCUUCUUAAUCUCUAUUGCUCAUUCCCCUUGUUCAUCCAAGUUAUUACUAACACUAGAUUUCAGAACCUAGUUGCUACUAUCACCCCUUUCCUCCCCAACCAUCCACAAUUUCUCCUUUGAUGACCUCCCAUUACCCCCAUGAACAUUUUCUUAUCAGAUUAAAAUACCUUCAAGGCAUUUUAAGAUCCAACCUUAUGUUGAAUUUUAACUUGAAUCCCCAGAAGCCGACACCCAAAAAGAGUGCAGGGAUCCGGCUUUCAAAAGUGACGCCUUUAAAGCAACAAGUUAACCCAUGGAUAAUGGUCAUCAUCCCAUAGACCUUUCCUUCUAUUCCACUUCUUAUUCCCUUAACUCUCCUUCCUUUUGACUCGAGCAUCAGAGUCUUGUACCUCUCUCAUGCCAUCUCAGCAUUAUGCUACUCAAUCCUUUACUAGUUUCCCUUGAAAUAUGAACACACCUUGUCCAUCUCUAAUGGUACAAACCCCUUAGUAGUCACCAUCUAGUGGAGAGAUUUCACUUGUCCUACUGAACGUCAGCUUCGCACUUUCAAUACCUUUUCAGAUUUUGCAUCCCCUAAUCAAUGUUGCUAGUUCGUCAACACGUACUACCAUGUUCCUGACAUCAAAAUUUAGAGACCAAUCCUUGUAGUGCUACUUCUUAUAUGCAGCCAUUCAACCGACUAGCUUAACCUCGUAACUUUCACCUUGCUGCAUAUACUACCGUUCCCUAUUUUCCUAUCUGCUCCUAGCUCAAUUUNNNNNNNNNNNNNNNNNNNNNNNNNNNNNNNNNNNNNNNNNNNNNNNNNNNNNNNNNNNNNNNNNNNNNNNNNNNNNNNNNNNNNNNNNNNNNNNNNNNNNNNNNNNNNNNNNNNNNNNNNNNNNNNNNNNNNNNNNNNNNNNNNNNNNNNNNNNNNNNNNNNNNNNNNNNNNNNNNNNNNNNNNNNNNNNNNNNNNNNNNNNNNNNNNNNNNNNNNNNNNNNNNNNNNNNNNNNNNNNNNNNNNNNNNNNNNNNNNNNNNNNNNNNNNNNNNNNNNNNNNNNNNNNNNNNNNNNNNNNNNNNNNNNNNNNNNNNNNNNNNNNNNNNNNNNNNNNNNNNNNNNNNNNNNNNNNNNNNNNNNNNNNNNNNNNNNNNNNNNNNNNNNNNNNNNNNNNNNNNNNNNNNNNNNNNNNNNNNNNNNNNNNNNNNNNNNNNNNNNNNNNNNNNNNNNNNNNNNNNNNNNNNNNNNNNNNNNNNNNNNNNNNNNNNNNNNNNNNNNNNNNNNNNNNNNNNNNNNNNNNNNNNNNNNNNNNNNNNNNNNNNNNNNNNNNNNNNNNNNNNNNNNNNNNNNNNNNNNNNNNNNNNNNNNNNNNNNNNNNNNNNNNNNNNNNNNNNNNNNNNNNNNNNNNNNNNNNNNNNNNNNNNNNNNNNNNNNNNNNNNNNNNNNNNNNNNNNNNNNNNNNNNNNNNNNNNNNNNNNNNNNNNNNNNNNNNNNNNNNNNNNNNNNNNNNNNNNNNNNNNNNNNNNNNNNNNNNNNNNNNNNNNNNNNNNNNNNNNNNNNNNNNNNNNNNNNNNNNNNNNNNNNNNNNNNNNNNNNNNNNNNNNNNNNNNNNNNNNNNNNNNNNNNNNNNNNNNNNNNNNNNNNNNNNNNNNNNNNNNNNNNNNNNNNNNNNNNNNNNNNNNNNNNNNNNNNNNNNNNNNNNNNNNNNNNNNNNNNNNNNNNNNNNNNNNNNNNNNNNNNNNNNNNNNNNNNNNNNNNNNNNNNNNNNNNNNNNNNNNNNNNNNNNNNNNNNNNNNNNNNNNNNNNNNNNNNNNNNNNNNNNNNNNNNNNNNNNNNNNNNNNNNNNNNNNNNNNNNNNNNNNNNNNNNNNNNNNNNNNNNNNNNNNNNNNNNNNNNNNNNNNNNNNNNNNNNNNNNNNNNNNNNNNNNNNNNNNNNNNNNNNNNNNNNNNNNNNNNNNNNNNNNNNNNNNNNNNNNNNNNNNNNNNNNNNNNNNNNNNNNNNNNNNNNNNNNNNNNNNNNNNNNNNNNNNNNNNNNNNNNNNNNNNNNNNNNNNNNNNNNNNNNNNNNNNNNNNNNNNNNNNNNNNNNNNNNNNNNNNNNNNNNNNNNNNNNNNNNNNNNNNNNNNNNNNNNNNNNNNNNNNNNNNNNNNNNNNNNNNNNNNNNNNNNNNNNNNNNNNNNNNNNNNNNNNNNNNNNNNNNNNNNNNNNNNNNNNNNNNNNNNNNNNNNNNNNNNNNNNNNNNNNNNNNNNNNNNNNNNNNNNNNNNNNNNNNNNNNNNNNNNNNNNNNNNNNNNNNNNNNNNNNNNNNNNNNNNNNNNNNNNNNNNNNNNNNNNNNNNNNNNNNNNNNNNNNNNNNNNNNNNNNNNNNNNNNNNNNNNNNNNNNNNNNNNNNNNNNNNNNNNNNNNNNNNNNNNNNNNNNNNNNNNNNNNNNNNNNNNNNNNNNNNNNNNNNNNNNNNNNNNNNNNNNNNNNNNNNNNNNNNNNNNNNNNNNNNNNNNNNNNNNNNNNNNNNNNNNNNNNNNNNNNNNNNNNNNNNNNNNNNNNNNNNNNNNNNNNNNNNNNNNNNNNNNNNNNNNNNNNNNNNNNNNNNNNNNNNNNNNNNNNNNNNNNNNNNNNNNNNNNNNNNNNNNNNNNNNNNNNNNNNNNNNNNNNNNNNNNAGGGUGAUUUGAGGGUUUUAGGAGUGUGGUUUUGUAACUAAUUAGGUCAUUCUUUUGUUAUUUUCACUUGAUAAUUUUUUGAUUGAUGUUUGUGAUGCUAAAAUAUGUGAUUAUCUCUCUCAUUUUUCACAGAGUUUACCUCUUCUUUCUCCUCUUUGAAUUUCAAAAUUGAACACUUUAUAUAAGUCUGAAAAUAGUUGUAGAUGAAUAGUGGAUUUCUGAAAAUAUCCCCUACCAGAUCUACACCUAUCUCACCCUAGACUGCCACCUACCCUAGGUUGUCCCCUAGUGGGCCUCAUUUGCCUGGUUUGUCUGGAUCUGAACUAGUUCGGGGAAAACCGUAUCGGUUAUUAUUUUCACAUCACAAAUCCCGACUAAUCUUGAUUUGAAAUUAAUUUGGAUGCUUUUAAAUCCUUCUAAAUAAAUUUACGGAUCAUAGGUGAAUUCGAACCGCUGCAUAAUCCUUGUAUUUAAGGAGGAAUUGAUUUUAAAAGAGUGAAAUGACUGCCUAACCGCACUUGGUUCAGUCCUAAACCAAACCGAAUUUGACCAUCCAACUAGACAAUUAAUGCUCUGGGCUAAAACUAUCUUUUUCCACUGAAUGACACCUAAGUCAAACCGGUUUGAUCAAAAUCUGACAUGGAAUUUACUUAAUUGUAUUCGUAAUUAAAUCAACACUCUCCUCCUUAAAUAUUUAUGAGCGUACUAGGUGAUUAAGCUAUUAAAAUCCCAUAUUAUAUCCAAGAAUUUCGUUGGUUUACAUAACCAUAUUAAUUUAAAUGAGAGAAUCAAACCGGACGAGUUAUUCGGUCGAUCAAACUUGUCAGGAAUUUAGCUAAAAUUAUACUCAAAUUCUUGGAUUUAAUUCCUGGUCCAACUCACCUAUGAGUCGUCCUAGGAUCAACUAUGUGCAUCCUCCAGCUUUUUACACAAAAAUGGGUUUCACAUACCCUCGCACCACACUUGUGAUUCAUUGAUUACCUCUCCCGUAACCAACAUAGCAUCACAUAUGUGGUUACCAAAUAACCUUGAUGGUUAUCCGUCAUGCAACGCCGCUGCCUUUAUUCUUCUUAAUCUCUAUUGCUCAUUCCCCUUGUUCAUCCAAGUUAUUACUAACACUAGAUUUCAGAACCUAGUUGCUACUAUCACCCCUUUCCUCCCCAACCAUCCACAAUUUCUCCUUUGAUGACCUCCCAUUACCCCCAUGAACAUUUUCUUAUCAGAUUAAAAUACCUUCAAGGCAUUUUAAGAUCCAACCUUAUGUUGAAUUUUAACUUGAAUCCCCAGAAGCCGACACCCAAAAAGAGUGCAGGGAUCCGGCUUUCAAAAGUGACGCCUUUAAAGCAACAAGUUAACCCAUGGAUAACGAGAUAAAGCAACAAGUUAACCCAUGGAUAAUGGUCAUCAUCCCAUAGACCUCUCCUUCU